CCACAUCAGCUAAAAAGGAUGACAAAAAUACGCUAAAAUUUAGUUCAGGGAUAAUAGGAACUGUGAAGUUGAAAUGUGUCGUAGCAAAUUUCGAUGUGUAUUAUAACUUUUUGGAGGAAAGAUUAAGACUACAUACCAUCAAAGAUAAACCAGUAACCUCAGCCCAUGAAUUAGCAAGAUUUGAUGCAGCAAGUUCAAGUUUGCCAAGAUGACCAGCAAACAUGACAGAUACAAGAUUGAUGAAGUAGAAACAACUAGUCACAACAAUCAUUGGCAAAGAGAACAAUGUUUGUUUCUUGGCUUCUUCAACAUCAAUUAACUUAUUAAUAAUAAUAAUCCACCAUAUGUUUGUGUCCAAUGAUGUUUGAGACAACAACAUAGGACUUGUAAGACUAUUUGAUGUUGAACUAUCCAUGGUUAUAUUCUUGAUUUGCUUCUUAGUUCACUACUAUUACCAAUGGAAUAAUCCUCUUUAUAUACAAGCAUGAUGUAAAUAAAAAAAACAGUGUGGUACACUAAGGGUCGUUUGGUAGAGUGUAUAAAAACAAUGCAGAAUAUAGUGUAUUCAGUGGUGGAUCUACCCUUUGCCGAGGAUUCGGCGAAAAAUUAUGCUAUAUAUGCAUGGUUAAAAUUAUUUUUUAUGUAUAUAUGUUAGAUGUUGAACCCCCUUCGGUUAAUUCGUAUGUUCACUUAUGAACCCCCUUCGUGAAUAUCCUAACUUCGCCACUGAGUGUAGUAGUAAUUGUAUUAGUAAAACUUGUAUUGGUUAUGCAUGUAUUAUUUCUUAUACAUUGUUUGGUUUGAUGUAGAAGAAAUAAUACAUCUUACAUAAUUUUUAUAAAAGAAAUGGUUGUUUACAAAAAUACCCUUCUUUGAUUUUGUACAUUUUUUUGCAACAAAGUUCUUUUGUCUUCUCAAACAUAAUUAGUAUUGUUGAACUAGUAUAUAGAGGUUUUAUGAUUAAUUGUAAGACCAACAUCUUUGCGCAGAAAUGUUACGGCGACAGAUUAACAUAGUCGAAAUAAAAAUAAAAUAUAAGACGUAAAAUUAAAAAAUAGUCUCAAUUUUUUUAAUCUUUUUAAAGACCCUCGAAGCAAAACAAAAACAUGUUAUAGUUAUUUAAAUCAACUAUUCAUUAUUGUAAAUUAAAAUGGUGGGAAAAGAAAUUGUGAAAUGUCUUGAAAAGAUUCACUAUUGCAAAUUAAAAUGACGGGAAAAGAAAUGGUGAAAUAUUUUGAGAGGGAAAUUGAAGGGUAUUGAGGUUUUUUAAUAAGUUAAUGCAUGUGUUUUAAAGUUUCUGUAUUACUAAUACACAAAAGAGCGUACAACUAAUGCUUGCAUUAGUUAUACAUAGGCAAAAAGAAGUACCAAACAAGGUACUCGUAAUACAUAGGCAAAAAGACGUACCAAACAAGGUACUCGUAAUACACAUUAACUAAUGCAUUCAUUAUAUUUUACAAUACACUCUACCAAACGACCUAUAAAACUCACAAAAGCUCUCAUAUACGUAGGAUUCGGGAAAGGGCCCCACCAUAAGGGUGUAUUGUACCAGCCUUAAAUGUUUUAUAUUAGGCAUAAUAUAUAAACAUGCCCUUUAAUUUGACCUCAAAUCACAUCUAUGACCUUCGACUUUGGGUGUGCUGAAGAAAAUACUUAAACUUGUAUAAAGUUGAACAAGUAGACACACACGUCCUAUCUGACAUAAUACACAUAGGACGCCAUGUAUGACAAGAAUUGGCCACGUAGGACGUCACAUAGGACAUAUGUGUCUACUUGUUCAACUUUAUACAAGAUUAAGUGCCUACUUGUGCAUACCCAACGUUGAAGGUCAUAGAUGUAACCUGAGGUUAAGUUAAAAUGGCAUGUUUAUGUAUUGUGCCUUUAUAUUAACAAUGUAAUUUACGUUGCCAUUGAGUACUACUGUUUCUCUGUUCAUCUUUAUUUGUCACAUUUGAACUUAGCACACCUACUGAGAAAAAACAAUGAUUGACAUGAUUAUUUUUACUACCUCCAUCCGUCCAUUUUUACUUGUUCAAUAUACUAAAAUAGAUGUCCAAUAAUAUUUAUCUAAAUUAAAAAAUCAAUGAAUAAUUUACCAUUGUUUGUCUGAUCCAUUUUACACUUGCUAUUAAAUACUAUUCAUUACCUAAUGCAUUUCCCAAAACUUUAAAUUUACUAUCUUCAAAUAGUAAUAUAGUAAAACUACCCCUAGAUAUUAAACAUCUAGUACCUCCUGAACUAUGGUUAAAUUUGCUACGACGCACUCCAACUUCACGGGGUCCCUAUUACUCCCUGAAAUAAAAUUUUAGCAUAUUUUUAGCUGACGCGACACCUUUUAUCAACCUUUUUAGCUGACAUGAUAUUUUAUGUAAUAAAGGUGUCAUGUCAGCACAAAAGGAUGACAAAAAUACGCUAAAAUUGAGUUGGGGGGGGGGGGGGGGUUUUAAAGGGCCUCUGNNNNNNNNNNNNNNNNNNNNNNNNNNNNNNNNNNNNNNNNNNNNNNNNNNNNNNNNNNNNNNNNNNNNNNNNNNNNNNNNNNNNNNNGCAAAAAUAUGUAUGGAAUGGUGGUGGGGGGGGGGGGGGGGGGAGUUUAAUAGGACCCUUGUGAAGUUGGAGUGUGUCUCAACUUUGGCCUUAGUUCGAAGAGGUACCGGAUGCUUAUCUCUUUAUUAUUUAUGAACAAAUAAAGAUGGACGAAGGGAGUAAAACCUUUAUUUACCUCUCCCUAAACAACUUUUAAGUGAAUUAAAUAUCACCUUAAAAUUUUAAUACCACUCUCACAAUAAACAAUGCAUGACACACGUGUCAUGUCCAGUGGCGGAGCCACAUUGAAUUCAGGGGCCGAAUCCCCUUCGUUGGAAAAUUAUAUUAUUUUUACAUGAUCAAAAAUAUUUUAUGUAUAUAUAAUAGAUGUUGAACCCCCUUCGACUAAUCCGUAUAUUUACUUUUGAAUUCCCUCAGAAAAAAUUCUGAUUCCGCCACUUAUGUCAUUCUCACAUCAAUGUCACAUCAAGCCACACACAAGACACGACACAUGUGAUAGUCAUUUAAUAUGUAAUGGUGAUAACUCAUGAACAUACAUGUCUAAAGCCAUGUGAAUAAUUUGUGUAAUUACUAUCCACAAUAACACUUCGCCACAUCACUUAUUAGUAAAUUGUAUUUGUCAAUAUUCGAUUUUGGGAUCAUCAUUUAAAUCAUACUAUUAUUCAUAAAGUUUACUUAAAUUUAAAAUAAUUUUAUAUAUAUAGUAUCUGAAGUUAAGCUCAACAUGUCAAACCAAACUUCAGACUAUAGUAUAUAUGACUGAAGUUCUAUUAUUUUUAGAAAAUUUACCUACCCAUAAUUGAAGUUUGGUUAUUUUUAUCUAAACUUAGGAAUAUGUGAUUUAAAUUAAUUAUAUUUAUUUAAUUUGACUUUUUUUUUUAAAUUUAUGUACAUAUAAUUGAAGUUUAGAUAUUUAUGUCAAAAACUUCAGUCAUAUGAAAUGUCAGACACUAUAUAUCUGAAGCCAAACACAUUUUUAAGGUCAAUCCAAAUUUCACCAAACAAAUAUUAAUAAUUAAAUAAAAAUAGAGAAAUUUCAUUCAUCUCGUCUUACUAACACGUCUAAAUGGGAAAAAUGCUCUCAAAUAUACCUAAAUUUUGACGAAAUUUGUUGUAACACGUCUGAACUUUGUAGGGGUCCUAUGACCCUCUAGAACUUUACGGGAGUCCUAUAACCCCCCUAAACUAUUUAUUAGCAUAUUUUAUUGAUAUUUAUUUGUACUAAUUUUCAUUUUAGCAUUUUUUAUUUUUUUUAUUAACUUAUAAAUGUCACUAGAAUACACUAAUAAAUAAUUCAGGGGGUUAUAGGAACCCCCGCAAAGUUCAAGUGUGUUACAACAAAUUUUCUCAAAAUUUAGGUAUGUUUCGGACUAUUUUCCGUCUAAAUGCAUCCACUCAAUAUAAUAGUUUAAUCAUUUAAAUACUAGUUUAGGAGACUUAAAAGCGAAUCUACAACAACCACAACUACUUAAAUCAUCAGUUGUCGGUUAUUCUCACGAAGCAACAACAACAACAACAUAUCUAGAAAAUUUCGACUAAGUGAAGUCUGAGGAGGGUAAGUGUACGCAGUACAUACCACUACCUCAGAUGUGAAAUAGAGAUGCUGUUUCCGCUAGAACCCGACUCAGAUGAAUUUUUUUUGUUCAUAAUCUAGAUAUGCAUAGCGUUUAAUUUUAUUUUUAAUUUUAUAAACCCUAAUCGUCAUAUUAUGAUUGAAAAAUCUUCUCUUUUCCAUACUAAUCAUUAAUUAGACUUCUUGAUUAAUUGUCUAAUUAAUGAGCUAAUUGACAGUUCAUAAUCAUAUGGAUGGUACAAUUUAUUAUAUGAUUAAACAUUUUACGUGAUCUAACAAUCAGCAUGCCAUAUUUUGAAAAAUUACAAAAUUCACUAUUUUAAGAAGGGUCACAUUUUAGAUAUCUUUUGAAUAAUAUGAUAAUGUAAAAAUAAUUUAUAUUUUUACUUAUUGCAAUAAGUAAAAUGUCUUAGUUUUAAAAUUACAAAUUUCAUAUUUUAUGGAGUAUUAUUUGUAAAUAUCUUUUAGGUGAUAUGAUAGUCGUAAUAAAUUCUUACGAUAUCGAACAUGUGUAUAGUUAAACUCAUUCUUAAAUAGGAUUAAGUUAUAUGCAUUAGUGUAGGGAUUAUUUUUUUCACUAUUAAUGUUGUUUAACAAGUGAUAAUAUGUUAGUUAUCAUUUUUAUCUGGCUAUCAAUCAUCACUUAUCAUAAAAAUUUAUGCAUAAUUACUUUAAAAGUGAUAUGAUUGUGUAUAUUAUUUGUAUACAACUAAUUCAUUAAACUAAAACUCAUAAUUACAUGCAAUUGAGUAUUAAUUAAUCAAAUUAUAUAAAAAUUUUUUUACACUAUCAUGAAAUUAUAUGUAGUUACUUUUUAAAUAACUUAUAUUUCUUUUAUGAAAAAUUACGCGAUACAACAAAUAUAGCCCUUAUAUUUACUCGAAAUAGUGAUACUUUAAAAAAAUUAUGAUACGUAUAGCAAGAGCUUGAGAUUAGUAGCAAAUACACUUAAAUAUACGUUUCUCUUUAUUUUAUGUAUGAAUUUCAAGUGUAUCACAUAAACUAUAUUGCGAUACACGUAUUAUUUGUGGUGGUUGGAGUGAUUUCUGAUGAUGAUACAAGUGUAUCUCACAAAAUACAAGUUUCAUACGGUGACAUGGAUACAAUCUAUUUCGCUUGUACGGGAAUAUAAUGUAUUCCGUUGCAUUUUAAACGACGUUCAUUCUCUAUAAACAACAUUUCAGUAUAACGGCUAAAUUUUCUGAGGGACCAAUCUUCCUAUUUUGUAAUAUUAUAUGUUCUUUGUAAUAUCAUUUCGCUAUACGAGCCAAAAAAUAUCCGUACAAGUGACAACAUUAUAUGCUAGCGCUCUCUAAAUAUCUAUUUGAAUAUGAAAUUUGAUCAGGAUUUAUCAAAUAUUUUCAAGUUUUCGAAAACUGGCUUAGACCACUGAUUUCUAUAAUUUCCACUCUCUAAACUUCAAAUUCUUUUCAAGUAAAAUUUAUAUAGUAAAGCAUCUAGUACCCCCUGAACUAUGACCAAAUUUUCUACGACACACUCCAACUUCACAGGGGUCCUAUUACCCUCCUGAACUCAAUUUUAGUGUAUUUUUGUCACCCCUUUUAGCUGAUGCGACACCUUUUUAGCUAACGUGACACCUUUGACGUGGGCCCCAUUUUUAUGUAAUAAUGGUGUCAUGUCAGCACAAAAGGGGGACAAAAAUACGCUAAAAUUACGUUCAGGGGGUAAUAGGACCCAUGUGAAAUUGCAGGGUGUUGUAGCAACUUUGACCAUAAUUCGACGGGAUGCUAGAUGGUUAUCUCAAUUUAUAUCUAGGCAUAAUACGUAAACAUGCCCUUUAACUCGACGUCAGAUCACAUUUAUGACCCCCAACUUUCGGUGUGUACAAGUAGACACUUUAACUUGUAUAAAGUUGAACAAGUAAAUACGUAUGUCCUAUGUGACAUCCUACGUGGCCAAUUCUUAUCCUACAUGGUGUCCUACGUGUAUUAUGCCACAUAAGACGUGUGUGUCUACUUGUUCAACUUUAUACAAGUUUAAGUGUCUACUUGUGCACACCGAAAGUUGGGGUCAUAGAUGUGAUCUGACGUCGAUUUAAAGGGCAUGUUGUGUUAUUCCUUAUAUCUAAAUGUAACUUUUUGAAGGAAAGAUUUAGAUGCGUACCAUCAAAGAGAAACCAGUAACCUCAGCCCAUGAAUUAGCAAGAUUUGAGGCAGCAAGUUCAAGUUUACCAAGAUGACCAGCAAACAUGACAGAUACAAGAUUGAUGAAGUAGAAACAACUAGUCACAACAAUCAUUGGCAAAGAAAACAAUGUUUGUUUCUUGGCUUCUUCAACAUCAAUGACCUUAUUAAUAAUAAUAAACCACCAUUUGUUUGUGUCCAAUGAUGUUUGAGACAACAACAUAGGACUUGUAAGACUAUUUGAUGAUGAACUAUCCAUGGUCAUAUUCUUGGUUUGCUUCUUAGUUCACUACUAUUACCAAUGAAAUCCUCUUUAUAUCAUGCAUGAUGGAAUAAAUGUUAUAUAUUAGGCAUAACAUAUUCAGUGCUGGAGUCACAAUUUAUCAUUGAGGGGUUCAGACGUGUAUAUACGAACUAGUCGAAGAGGAUUCAACAUCUACUAUAUGUGCAUAAAAAAUAUUUUUAAUCAUGUAAAAUAGUAUAAAAGCAUUAUAAUUUUUCGUUGAAUGGGGUUCGAAUGAACCCUUGGAGCAAAGGUUGAUCCGCAACUGAAUACAUUAGUGUGUACUUUAACUUGGCUUCAAUUAUUAUCUAUGUACUCUAAUUUGGAUGUGCAAAGUACACACUUAAACUUGUGUACAGUUGAUAAAGUAAACACGUGUGUCCUAUGUGGCAUCCUACAUGGUCGUCCGAUUCACGUCCUAUAUGUGUGUCCUACGUGUAUUAUAUAUCCGACAUAGGACAUAUGUGUCUACUUAUUCAACUUUAUACAAUUAUUAGAGUAAUUUACGUUGCUAUUGAGUAUUACUGAUCCUCUCUUCAUCUUUACUUGUCACAUUUGAACUUAGCACACUAAUUAAAAAAAUAAUAAAUCGACAUGAUUAUUUUACCACAAUAUUCUUAUUAAUUGAUUUUUAGUAGUAGGUAUAGGAAAAUGACAUAUGUGGAGAAUAAGUAACGAAUACUAAUAGUAAAACAUGGAAGAAAAAUAAUUGUCUUUUAGUGAUAUGUUAAAGUAAGAAUAUAUUUCUGGAAUAGUGUACAACUAAAAGUGAACUGAGAGAAUAUUUUCUUUAGGGUAUAUAUGUUUUGUUUUCUUUCCUAUCUAGCGGCGUGAUUUCCAUCUUUAUUGUUUACUUUUAGGUUUUUUUGUUUGUUAUAUUUAUUAUCUAUCCUGAGACAACUAACCAAUCAACAUGCCUUUUUUUGAAAAAUGACAAGAUUUACUUUUUAUGGACGGUCACAUUUAAAUAUCUUUUGAAUAAUCUAAUAAUGUAAAAAUAAUUUGCAUCUUUACUUGUUGUAAUAAGUAAUUUACAUCUUUACUUGUUGUAAUAAGUAAUAUAUUUGUCCCGUUUAAAAAAUCAAUAGAUAAUUUAUCAUUAUUUUAGGCAUGUGUGAGUUAGUUUUUCAUUUUUAUGUAUGUCUUUCAAUUUUGGGUGUACACAACUAGACAUUUCAUGAAUAAUUCUUUGCGGGAUUGGAUUUUUUUUAUAGUGGAAAUGCCAUAAAGCGCGACCCAAGAUCCAUGAUACGAAAACCAAAAUCAGAAUAACGAAGAAAAAGACAUCGAUCCUGAUGUAGUAUAAAGUCCAGCAAGUAGACAUAUGUAUCCUGUGUGACAUCCUACAUAGCCUAUUCAUGUGGCGUCCUACGUGUAUUAUGCCAUAUAGGAUGUAUGUGUCUGUUUGUUCAACUUUAUAUUGGGUUCAAAGUAUACGAAAAAGUGUGAAUGAAAAAUGGAGGAAAAAUGGUGGAGAGAAGGGAGACACCAAUUUAGAAAGUGUACUCCCAAAUUGGAAAGUUCACUCUUUCUCCCACGUUGGUGGAAGAAGAGAACUUGUGAGUGUUUAAAAUAAGGAACACUUACUCCACAUGGUAAAUGAGGCAAAAAAUAAGAGAUGCCUCGCGCCGUCGUUGUCGCUUGCUCGGCUUGGCUUCGGAUUCUAUCUUUUUGGACAAACUUUAUUUGACAGAAAUUUAAUCCGAAGGGAAAGUAAAAACGUGGUAAAUUUUUCUAUGUUUUGAUCCUCCAGUUAUAUGCAUGCAUGACACUAUUUUGAACUGAUGCUUCUGAGAGAUGCACUGUUUCGAACUGAUGCUUAAGAAGGAUGCAAUCCUUUAAUGAAAUGACACACACUGAUUCAUGAAAUGGUCUGCCCGUUCAAAAAACAUGCAAUCUUUGGAUGAACAAACAUGAUUUUUUAGGAAAGGUCACACCUUUUAAGUGAACUAUUGCAACUUUUCAGAAGAGGCAUAUGAAGGCUAUAUAAAUCUUCUUUCAUCCACAGGUUUAGACACGGAAUUUUUCUGAAAUAAAAACUCUCCCCUUGUCUUAAAAACAUUCUGUGUGAUCAAUCAAACUGUUGAGUGAGUUCGUAGAAUCCAACAAUUUGAGGUACCGCUAUUGUUCGGAUUGUAGGCUAUUUUAUCCUGGAAUAAAGAUUCCAUAACCUUGGGUACAGUGAGGGGAAUUAUUCCUUAAGGACACUCCGUGAAGUCGGGGGACUUGGCCUUAAAUUUUAUUUCAUCUAUUUUCUGAAAUCUAACACACUUCUUGGAUAGAUUAUUAAGUAAUCAUGUGUUGAAGGUGUUAAAGAACUUCAAAGGUGUUUUUGUUUAUACAUAAAAUAUUGUUGAAGUUGGUGUUGCAAUUAUACAAAUUCUUGUACCCGAAACUACAUAAAAUAACAAUCUUAAGGAAUAAACUUUUGCAGAAUCUGUAUUGCUUAUUUUUGGAGAUUAAAGCUUUAAGCUUUCUACUCCAUUUGAACUUAACUAGUGAUUCAAAGACAUAAAAUCUUCAUCACAAGUUAAAGAUCACUCGGUUGACGAUUGGAAGUCAUAAAAACUUCAUCGUUAACUAGAAAUAAGAAGAAGAGUUUAAAGUUGCUUAACUUUAUAAGUAGUAUUCUGAAAAUACUAAAUUUUAUUGUCUUGUGGUGGCAGAAAAAAUGACUAACGAAAUUCAAAUGCAAGAUGCUGCUACGACUGUGGGGGCAACUAGUAUUGCCUCAACAAGUCGAGCAAAUGCUCUGCAAUCAAUGAAACCUGCAGAGAAACCCAAAAAAUUUACGGGCAUUGACUUUAAGCGAUGAUAGCAAAAGAUGUUCUUAUACCUCACCACUCUAUGCAUUCAAAGGUUUACUAGUGAGGAUGCUCCUGAGGUGCCCGAGGAAACCUCGGACAAAGAGCAUUUCAUGAUUGUAGAGGUUUGGAAGCACUCAGACUUCCUUUGCUGGAAUUAUAUUUUGAGUGGUCUCCAAGACGACCUCUAUAACGUUUACAGUGGAACUAAGACAUCGAAGGAAUUGUGGGGGGCCCUAGAACGAAAAUACAAGACAAAGGAUGCGGGAAUUAAGAAAUUUUUUGUUCCAAGGUUCCUGGACUUUAAAAUGAUAGAUAGUAAAUCGGUUGUCUCUCAAGUGCAGGAAUUACAAGUAAUUAUUCACGAUCUCCUAGCAGAAGGUAUAUCUUUAAAAAAUACCUUAGUUGAACAAAUUGAAAAUGUUCUUAGUACUCACAUAAACUAUUUUGUAGGUUUGAUUGUGAAUGAUGCAGUUCAAGUAGCAGCGAUCAUUCAGAAGCUACCACCUAUGUGAAAAAACUUCAAAAACUACUUGAAGCACAAACGCAAGGAGAUGACUGUUGAAGAUCUUAUUGUCCGAUUACGUAUUGAAGAGGAUAAUAAAGCUACCGAGAGAAGGUUAAAAGUGAAUUCUGUAAUUAAUGGAGAACAUAUUGUGGAAUGACCAAAAUAAUUUUAAGAAAAGGAAGAAAGUUGAACAAAGAAGCAAUCAACCCAAGAAGAAAUUCAAGGGAAAAUGCUUUAAUUGUUGCAAGAUUGACCACAAGUCCACGGAUUGUCGUGCUCUGAAGAAAGGCAAGAAAAAGGACCAAGCUAAUAUGGUUGAGUCCAACAAAGAAUGUGAUGAUCUGUGUGCUCUGUUCUCAGAAUGCAAAUUGGUGGGGAAUCCUCGCGAAUGGUGGAUGGAUUCUGGUGCCACCCGCCAUGUGUGUGCCAACACAGAGUUGUUUUCGUCAUUCGCUUCGGCUUAAGUAGAAGAAAUGAUCUACAUGGCUAAUGCCGUUACUACUGAGGUAGAAGGAACAGGAAAAAUGUGUUUGAAAAUGACUUCAGGCAAGGUUUUGAAAAAUGUCUUGUAUGUUUUGGAAUUACGUAGGAACUUGAUUUCUGUUUCACUUCUAGACAAGAACAGAUUCAAAUGUGUAACCGUUUCUGGAAAAAUUGUAAUUAGCAAAGGAGAAAUGUAUGUAGAAAAAGACUAUCUCAUCGAGGGCCUUUAUAAUAUGAAUGUAAUGAAUGUUGACAUCAAUAAAAUUUCAAAUUAUUCUUACUUGCUUGAGUCUUAUAAUUUAUGGCAUGAACGUUUAGGCCAUGUUAAUUACAAAAAGUUAUGAAAACUGAUUAACUUAGAGGUUUUGCCAAACUUUGAGUGCAGUAAAUUAAAGUAUCAAACGUGUGUGGAAUCAAAGUAUGCAAAGCAUCCUUAUAAGUCCGUUGAAAGGAAUUUCAACCCCUUAGACUUAAUACACACUGACAUUUGUGAUAUGAAGUCAACACCAUCACGUGGUGGGAAAAAGUAUUUCAUAACUUUUAUUGACGAUUGCACUGGAUAUUGUUAUGUCUAUUUGCUAAAUAGUAAGGAUGGAGCAAUAGAUUCGUUUAGGCAAUACAAAACUGAAGUAGAAAAUCAGUUAGAGAAAAAGAUAAAAAUAAUAAGAAGUGAUAAGGGCGGAGAAUAUGAAUCUCCUUUCGCCGAAAUAUGUGUAGAGAAUAGAAUUGUCCAUCAAACUACGGCCCCGUAUUUACCUCAAUCUAAUGGAAUUGUGAAAAGGAAAAACCUAACUUUGAAGGAAAUGAUGAAUUCCUUACUUAUAAGUUUCGAUUUACCGUAAAACUUGUGGUGGGAGGCUAUCCUUACAGCCAAUCAUAUACUCAAUAGAGUUUCCCAUAGUAAGACACAAUUAAUUCCUUAUGAAAAAUGGAAAGGAAGGAAACCCAACUUGAAAUAUUUCAAAGUGUGGGGGUGUCUAGCAAAGGUACAAGUUCCCAUGCCUAAAGGGGUUAAGAUAGGACCUAAGACUGUGGACUACGUGUUCAUAGGAUGUGCUAAAAGCAGUAAAGCAUGCCGAUUUUUGAUUCACAAAUCUGAACAUCCGGAUAUAAAUGAAAAUACGGUAGUUGAAUCAGAUAAUGCUGAAUUCUUUGAAAACAUUUACAAGUAUAAAAUUAGACAUGAACAGUCUAGUGGAGGAUCUAAACAACCUCGAUAUGAACCAAGUGAGAAUGUACAUAAUGAAGAGAAUCCAAGACGUAGUACACGUCAAAGAAUGUCUACUUCGUUUGGAUCAGAUUUUGUAACAUUUCUCUUAGAAAAUGAGCCUCAAACAUUUAAAAAAGCGAUGUCGUCGUUAGACUCAUCCUUUUGGAAAGAGGAAGUCAAUAGUGAGAUUGAUUCAAUCUUAAGCAACCAUACGUGGGAAUUGGUUGAUCUUCCUCCAGGAAAUAAACCUUUAGGUUCUAAAUGGAUCUUCAAAAGGAAAAUGAAAGUGGAUGGUACUAUUGACAAAUACAAGGCAAGACUUGUAGUAAAAGGCUUCAAGCAAAAAGAAUGCCUUGAUUACUUUGAUACCUACUCGCCAGUAACAAGAAUAACAUCGAUUCGAAUGUUAAUUGCCUUGGCGGCAGUAUAUGGUCUUGAAAUUCAUCAAAUGGAUGUGAAAACCACAUUCCUAAAUGGAGAAUUGGAGGAAGAAAUUUACAUGGAACAACCUGAGGCUUUGGUGGUUCCAGGAAAGGAGAAUAAGGUGUGUAAACUUAUUAAGUCAUUGUAUGGACUAAAGCAAGCACCUAAACAAUGGCAUGAGAAGUUUGACCAAACCAUGUUGGAAAACGGGUUCAAGAUAAAUGAAUGUGAUAAAUGUGUUUACAUUAAAGACACUCCGAAUCACCAAGUCAUUGUUUGUUUAUAUGUGGAUGAUAUGUUGAUCAUCAGUAGAGACAUUUCUGACAUAAAUGCAAUGAAACGAAUGCUCGAGAGCAAGUUUGAUAUGAAAAACCUUGGAGUUGCGGAUGUGAUCUUAGGUAUAAGAAUCCAUAGAACUCCAUAAAGGUUGGCAUUGUCAUAGUCUCAUUAUAUAAAAAAUAUUUUUGAUAAAUUCAAGUAUAUGGAAUUCGGUAUUGCCAAGACUCCAUUGGAUGUGAGCUUUGCACUUCGAAAGAAUGAAGGUGAAAGUGACUCACAAUGGGAGUACGCAAGAGUAUUGGGAUGUUUAAUGUAUAUAAUGAAUUGUACAUGACCAGGCAUAGCAUGCGUAGCAUGCGCUAUUAGUAAGUUGAGUCGGUACACAAAUAAUCUCAGCAAAACUCAUUGGAUGGCAAUGAAAAGAGUUUUGGGGUAUAUAAAAUACACUCAAGACUAUGCGUUGCAUUAUAAUAAAUAUCUCGUGGUACUUGAAGGAUAUAGUGAUGCAAAUUGGAUCACCGGAUCGAACGAAGUAAAAUCCACAAGUGGAUAUGUAUUUACUAUCGGUGGAGGAGCAGUCUCUUGGAAAUCAUCCAAACAGACUUGUAUUGCUCGCUCCACAAUGAAAUCUAAAUUUAUCGCAUUAGAUAAAACCAGUGAAGAAGCAGAAUAACUUAGGAAUUUCUUGGAAGAUAUUUCUUAUUGGCCCAAACCAGUGGCACCAGUAUGUAUACACUAUGAUAGCCAAGCGACAAUAGGUAGGGCAGGGAGCAUGAUGUAUAGUGGUAAAUCUGAUCACAUAAGAUGGAGACAUAAUACCGUUAGAGAACUUCUCUCUAGUGGAGUUAUCACUGUUGACUAUAUUAAGUCAAAGGAUAAUGUGUCAGAUCCACUUACAAAAGGCCUAUCUAGAGAAGGAGUAGAAAGGACAUCCAAGGAAAUGGGUCUAAGGUCUCGGACAAGUCAGCAUGACGGUAACUCUACCUAGCAGACUGGAGAUCCCAAGAGCUAGGUUCAAAGAGAUCAAACAAAGUUGUGUUUGACAGGUUCAACAUUGUCAAUUACCCAACUCAUUCUCAUGAUGUAGACAAUGUGUAGUAAACAAGGAUAAGACUUAAAGUGAAAACUCUUUUAAUGAUUAUUUAAAUUUGGCAGAUUUGACCAAAUAGUUUAAUCUAUAGUAUUGAACGUUUAGAAAUCACCUAUGUGAGGGCGAAGUGGAAGCCGCUUCCAGGAGAAUGUUAGUAAAGGCCUAUUGUCUAAACUCUUAUGAAAUCGAGACGUGUUCAUGGCUGAAAAGAACAAAACCGUGAGAACCAUAAACGGUAAAAGGCUGGUUGUGUGACAUGUGUUGUCUAGGUGUACACUAAAGCUCGACGGUUCAAAGAUAUCAAAUCUAUCGAUUGACCGAGUGCAUCCGAUGCAUGUUCACUACAGAAAGUUCAAAGAGAAAUUCACUUAUCCAGAUGCAAUCAGUUUUUGCUUGAUGAUCACAUACUUGUCCGUAAAUUUUUUACGAAAAAUAGUUAUUUUCCAUUCAUGUGGGGGAUUAUUGGGUUCAAAGUAUACGAAAAAGUGUGAAUAAAAAAUAGAGAAAAAAUGGAGGAGAGAAGGGAGACACCAAUUUAGAAAGAGUACUCCCAAAUUGGAAAGUUCACUCUUUCUCCCACAUUGGUGGAAGAAGAGAACUUGUGAGUGUUUAAAAUAAGGAACACUUAUUCCACAUGGUAAGUGAGGCAAGAAAUAAGAGCCGCCUUGCGCCGUCGUCGUCGUCGCUCGCUCGGCUUCAGAUUCGGAUUUGGAUUUGGAAAAUGAUUGAUAAGAUCUAUCUUUUUGGAUAAAUUUAUUAGACAAAAAUUUAAUCCGAAGGGAAAGUAAAAAUGCAGUAAAUCUUUUGUGUUUUGAUCCUCUAGUUAUAUGCAUGCAUGACACUGUUUCAAACUGAUGCUUUUGAGAGAUGCACUAUUUUUACUGAUGCUUCAGAAGGAUGCAAUCCUUCAACGAAAUGACACACUGAUUCAUGAAAUGGUCUGCCUGUUCAGAAAAGAUGCAAGCUUUGAACGAACAAACAUGAUUUUUCAGGAAAGGUCACACCUUUUAAGUGAACCAUUGUCACUUUCCAGAAGAGACAUAUGAAGGCUAUAUAAAUCUGUUUUCAUCCACAGGUUUAGACACAAUUUUUUUUUGAAAUAAAAACUCUCUUCUUGUCUUAAAAACACUCUGUGUGAUCAAUCAAACUGUUGAGUGAGUUCGUAGAAUCCGACAAUUUGAGGUACCGCUAUUGUUCGGAUUGUAGGCCAUUUUAUCCUGGGAGGAAGAUUCCAUAACCUCGGGUACAGUGAGGGGAAUUAUUCCUUAAGGACACUCCGUGAAGUCGGGGGACUUGGCCUUAAAUUCUGUUUCAUCUAUUUUCUGAAAUCUAGCACACUUCUUGGAUAGAUUAUUAAGUAAUCUUGUGUUGAAGGUGUUAAAGAACUUCAAAGGUGUUUUUGUUUAUACAUAAACUAUUGUUGAAGUUGGUGUUGCAAUUAUACAGAUUCUUGUACCCGAAACUAUAUAAAAUAACACUUUAUACAAUUAUCAAUGUAAUUUACGUUGCUAUUGAGUAUUACUGAUCCCUCAUACAUCUUUACUUAACAUAUUUGUACUUAGCAUAUCGAUUGAGAAAAUAAUGAUCGAUAUGACUAUUUUACUACGAUAUUUCUAUUAAUUGAUUUCUAGUAUUAAGUAUAGGAAAAUGCUCGAUUUGGAGAAUAAUUAACUAAUACUAAGAGUAAAAAGGACAGUCUGGUGCCCUAAAACUUUCGCGAAUACUAAGAGUAAAUAUGAAAAAGAUAAUUGUUUUUACUUAAUAUGUUAAAAGUGAAAAUAUAUUUUCGAAAUAGUUGACAAUUAGAAGUGAACAAAGAGAGUAUUUUUUUUAAGGGUAUAUACACUUGUUGGUUAAUAUACCAUGAUAAUUAAAUUACAGUGAAAAGUACAAAAAAGUGAAGAAAAUAAAAUAAUCUUCUUCUUAUCUAAGACACGGAUAUCUCACGCUCUUUAAGGAGAUUCAAGUCCACUGCGACAUAAUUUACACUGAUCCAGCAGUAUAUCUCAUGACUUAUCCCCUCUAUGAUACAGCAAUGGGAUAAUACUCACAAAAAUAUCUGAACUUUGACCGAAUUUCCAGUUGAACAUACUGAAUUUUGCGGGGGUCCUAUUACCCCCCUAGACUUUUUAAAGUGGAUUUAAUUCCCCCUGAAACUCUAUACCCAAUUUCGGCGACUGGCGGUGUAAUACACGUGUAUUGGCGCGUGUAAUACACGCGCCAACCUCGUAUUCACAUAUAUCUAAGUGGACAGAUAUAUGCCAUUAAAAUACGAUAAAAAAAGUCUAGGGGGUAAUAGGACCCCCGCAAAGUUCAGUAUGCUCAACUGAAAAUUCAGUCAAAGUUCAAGUAUUUUUGUGAGUAUUAUUCCUAUAUCAAUCCAUCAAUGAUGUACAACUCAAGUAACUCCGUAUUAGUUGAAGAUCGAGUUCAAAGCUGCAAACCCCAAUUUGUGAAAAUACACUAAGUAUGUUAUGGUAUACUAGUUUAAGAGAUUUAGAAAUUUUCCCCUAUUGCAUAAGCAAAUCUACAGUAAUCACGACUACUUGAAUCAUCAGUUGUUGGUUAAUUAAUUAAUUAUUCUCACGAAUCAGAUGAAUUUUCUUUGUCCACAAUGUAGAUAUCCUUUAGGGAAAUCUCUUAUAAAUCCCAAUAAUUAUUAUGGUAGAAAAAUCAUCUUUUUUAAUACUAAUAAUGAUGUAUUAGUCGAAUUUCAAUACGAAUAUCGAAUACCAGAUGAAAAAAAUAAAUUAUUGAUGGUCUAAUUAAUUAAUGAGUUAAUUGACAGUUUUUUUAUAGGGAUAAUACUCACGAAAAUACCUGAACUUUGAUCGAAUUUUUAGUUGAGCAUACUGAACUUUGCGGGGAUCCUAUUAUCUCCUAGAUUUUUUUCGUAUUUUAAUGGGAUAUAUCUGCCCACUUGGAUAUGUGUAAAUUUGAGGUUGGCGCGUGUAUUACGCCACCAUCUGACAAAAAAACACGUGUAAAAAUGAGAUUGACGCGUGUAAUACACCGCCAACUGCUGAAAUUGACUAUAACGUUUCGGGGAGGGGGAAUUAAGUCUACUUUAAAAAGUCUAGGGAGUAAUAGGAUCCCCACAAAUUUCAGUAUGCUCAACUGAAAAUUUGAUCAAAGUUCAAAUAUUUUUCUCAAUAUUUUUCCUUAUGUAUAUGCUUAGACAUUUACCAACCAACAUGCCUUAUUUGGAAAAAUUACACGAUUUACUUUUUAUGGAAGGAUACAUUUAGAUAUUUUUUGAAUAAUCUAAUACUGUAAAAGUAAUUUAUAUUUUUAUCUAUUGCAAUAAGUAACAUGUCUUAUUUUUAAAAUUACGAUAAAUUGGAUCAGAUUUUACUGAAUUUUUUUCUGUAGUACCUCAACGUGAUAUGAGUAUGCAGGUCAACCGAUUGAAGAACCAGGUACUCAUUUAAGAUUUAAGAACUUUUCAUAUAGGUGAACCUUGGAAAGUUUUAAUAUAAGCAGGAGGAAUUCGUAGACGAACACCAAGCAAAGGCAGGAUGAAUCAGUAGUGGACUUCAUCAAACGGAGGCGAAGACCGCAAUCAACUUAGAAUAAUCAAACGCCCAUCGAGUUACAUGGGCACCUCCAUAUAAAAUCAAUUUUACGGUAUAGACGUUUAUGACCUCCCUCUUUAUGUAUUGCGGUAAUUUUUUCGAAACAAAUGAAAAGGAAACGAAAGACGAAACAUUUUCUAAAAAUAUGUGUUUCAGUUUAGUUGUCCAACUUUUAAAAUAAAGUGUAAUUUAUACAAAUGUUUUCUAUUUUACCCUUGAUAUAAAUACUAAAUACAUCCACAAUUUUCAAAAUUAUUGAAUGCUGCACAAACGAUCUCAAUUCUCAAAAUCAAAAUUAAAUGCUUAUUACUAAUUUCAACAAUAAAUAUUCAAUGUUCUCGACGUAACUAUAUUUACUAAAUUUUAAUGUUUAAUCAUUGCAUUGAUUAUUAUACUUUAAAAGGCAUACAAGGACAAAUAUGUAAAAUGUAGAUAAAUAUGUAAAAUGUAUCUUUAUUUAUUGAUUUCUUAUUGGGUGUGCUAAGUCUAUUUCGAUUGAAAAACCAAUGGAUAAUUUACCAUUGUUUGUCCAAUCCAUUUGACCCUUUCUAUACUAUUCAUGCUUUUCCAAAAUAUUAGGGGUCGCUUGGUAUAAGGGAUAAAGAUAACUAAUCUCGAGAUUAAUUUCGAAAAGGAACUUAUUCCUUGUUCGGUUGGAACAAAACGCACGGAGUAGCUCAUUCCAAAAUUAGUUAUCUCGAAAUUGUAGUGUUUGGAAUAACUAACCUCGGAAUAGCUAAUUCCGAAAUUAAUAAUUUCAGAAUAACUUAUUUUCCAAUCAAACAACCUCUAAAUUUAUGAUAUUUAAAGAAUGAUACAAUAAAAUUAUCCAUAUUAUUUUUUAAGACAUGUAAUAAAAAAAUUAUAGAUAAAUAAAGAUGUACGGAGAGAUCUAGUAAAAUCUUCUGAGGCAUAGCCAUUUAGAACAUGAUGGUGAUAACUCACCAACAGACAUGUCCAAAGCCACGUGAAUAAUUUGUUCAAUCACUAGUAAUAAAUAAUAUUUGCCACGUCAUUUAGAAUAUAAAUAUUUAAUUUUGAGAUCAUCAUUUAAAUCAUAUUAUUGAUAAAGUGAAAAGACAUGAAGUACCAACAUUGGUUGUGGUGUAUUAGGUGGAGUUGCUUCACUCUUAAUCAGAGGUUGAGGGUUCGACCUUGGGUAUAGAGAAAACUCUGUUGGGAACGCUGCCGCCUUAAUGAGCCCUGCAAUGCGCAAUCCGAAUUAGUUGAGGCUCCAAUGCGGAUAUUAGAUACUUGAUGGGUAACCAAAAAAAAAAAAGAAAAGACGUGAACUGAUCAUUAAAAUUAUUCAAGAUUUGCUAGAAGAUAUUGAAAUUUUGUGGACGAUUUACUGCCUCGUAAAAGUGAUAUAGACCGUUAUAAAUAGAUCAUUUUAAAUGAUUUUAUCGUCAACUUUGGGAUUAUUCUAGACGCGUGUGGGUUAGUUUUUCAUUUAAUUAAUUAAUCAAUUAAAUUAAAUCAUGGAUUUAGGCGGGCUUAACCUGAUUCGAACUUUAAAUAUGCAAAACUGAUAACCAAUCAAUAAGAUAUUUUUUUAUUUAUUUUUGGUUUAUCAAUUUUUGAUCCUUAACGGCUCGAUUUUCAGUUUAACCAACAAGAAAAUACUCAUAAAAAAAUCAUAACAACUAACAUAAAAAAACGAAUCUUAGUUUCCGCCAAACUCUUAUAUAAUGGAUUUUAAUUUACAAGAAUCUUAAAACCCAGACUGAAUGUUAUUUCAAAAAGAAACUGAAUCCUAAUUGUUGGAAGCUAUUGAAUGCUUCAAGCUUUCGAAUAUGGCAAUUACCAUGCUUUGUAUUAUGCUUUUGUUGUCCUGAAUAGAUUAAUACAUUGUGAAUCACUGAAUUCUGAAUGAACUGUAUAUUAUAUAUAUAUAUGCAUUAUAUCUAUAAUCUAUAUCUAUAAUCUAUAAUAUAUUAAAAGUGUGAAGACCAUUAGAAAAGUGAUUUGAACUUUUUGCCCUUCAUUAAAAGUCUUUGCUUUAGACAAAAUCGUCAUUUUACUAUUUUUCUAAUAUUUAAAAAUUAAAAAUUAAUUAAAUAUAUUUAUGGUAAAACAUUAUUUAUUUUUAAAAGUUAAAAAUUAAUCAAAUAUAUUUAUGGUAAAAUCUUUCCUAUUCUAAUAUAUAUGGUAAAUACAAAUAUAUUUAAAAAGGAAGUUCUAACGUAGAUAAUAAAAGGAAAUAUUUAAUAAAAGUUUUAUUUUGGAAAGGUUUUUGUCGAUAAAAUAGGAAAAAGAAGAAUGAGUUUUUUUCUUCUGGUUAAACGUUCAUACUUGUGCCAAUAUUAUUUUAAAAUGGCGUGGAAAAAAAAGGCUAAAAAUAGGAUGAGUAUAAAAUUGGUAAAAAGAACUAAAAAUAGAUUAUUUUUGUUUGUUGUUUAUUCGGAAUGAAAAUAUUAUUGUCUUCUUAAAUAAUUAAUUGCUAAGAAAUAAAAUUUUUAAUUAUUAUUUUGAUUAUUAUAAUAUUGAUUGAGUUGAUCAUCUUCCCCGUGAAUUUCUUAUUGCAGCAGUUUGAAAACUACUGUGAUGUUUGCUUUGUAUUACUUUGCAUGGUAGGAGAUAGAGGAAGGCAUAUUCAGGUUAGGUCUCCCACAUCCUCUUCCCAAUUAUAUUUUGGUGAAUAUAGCUAGACAUUAUGGAAGAACUUCAUCUUAGGACAGCACAAUGGAGGAAACAUUGACCAUAACGAUGUUUAUUGUAUCUUUGCCAUUCAGAUCCAAUAUUUAGCCAUUUACUUUUGUUGCGAUUUUUCAGUUUUAGUUAUCCAAGUUGUACUUAAGCCUAAAUGUGAGAGUCAGAACAUAAUGAGCACUUUGUGUUGCUCAAUGUGUGCUUCAAUGUCGUUAUCAAAAUUCUAAGACAUACUUUUUCUUGGCAAUGAAUUUCUUUUGAAGAGGCGACACUAAACAAUUGAUAUUUCAAUUUUAUCAUAAUUAUUUUUCAAUUUAAUUAUUCAUAUAUUUAUUAUUUUGUCUAAAUCUAUAUAUAUAAUCUAUAUCUAUAAUAUAUUAAAAGUGUGAAAACCCUUAGAAAUAUGAUUUGAACUUUUUACCCUUCAUUAAAAGUUUUUCCUUUUGACAAAAUCGUCUUUUCACCAUUUUUUUUCAAUUAUUAUUUAAUUAACUUUAUAAAAUUAAUUAUAAUCUUAAAAGAUUAAGGAGUCAUAAAUUAUAUGGUAAGAGGAAAAAUAUAUGAAAAAUAAAUUUUGGUACUUCUAAAACAGGAUAGAAAAAUACUCAUAAAAUAAGACUCUAUUGAGGAAAUACUUCUAUAAAUAUUGAGACGCGCAUUAAACUAGAGAAGAAUUCGGUUUACUUAUUGGGAAAAUAUGAUUUAUGAUCGUCUAACUUGAUUCAGUUGCAUGUCUAGAUUGGUGGGUGCUUAAUCUUCUAAUCCUCGACUUCUUCACUGUUUUUGUCAACAUAAUAGAAUUCAACUAUGUGUAUAUCUUCUAUGUUUUUCAUUCACGUCAUUCUUUAGGAUCAAAAUUUGUGAUCACUAUUGUAUUAUUUUGUUGUAGUUUACAUGUCGUAGAUGAAUUGACAGGUGGUAGAUGAAUGUCGAUCGGCUUUGAGAAAUUUUUUUAGGUAAAGGUUAGGUUUAAUUGUAUUAUUUUCAUAUCUCUAUUUUGAGGAUUUUUUUUUUUUGUAUAAAUGUUAAGUUUAAUUGUAUUGAUAUCUCUAUUAUCGUUUUAUUUUGUUUUAGUUUACAGGUGGUAGAUGAAUGUCGAUCGGCUUUGAGAAAUUUUUUGUGUAAAAGUUAGAUUUAAUUAUAUUAUUUUGAUGUCUCCAUCAUCGUAUUAUUUUAUUCCAGUUACAGGUGGUAGAUGAAUGUUGAUCGACUUUGACAAUUUUUUUUGGUAAAGGUUAGGUUUAAUUAAAUAAAUUCUCCAAAAGAUGUUGAAUUUAAUUAUUGUAUUCAUCUAUAUUAUUUAAAUAAAUAUUCUAUUUAGUGUAACAUUUGAAUUCAAUAAAGUAAGGUACACGCGCGAGACGCUUACACCUAAACUAGUAUAUGUAUAUAUAUUGAUGUACAUGUCAAGUUGAAGUUUAGAUAUUUAUGUCUAAAACUACAGUCAUAUGAAAUGUCAGAUUCGGAUUCGCACCGCGUAGGGUUCCAGUCGGGGGGAAGCGCUCCCUAUCAAAGAUUUUUCCAUACCCAAGACUCGAACCUGAGAUCUCUGGUUACGGGAGAAGCAAUCCAUCCAUUUUACCACAUCCUUUGGUGGUGUUUGAAGUCAUUUCAAGUAGAUAAACAUGUAAAAUUUUUAGAGAAUUAGAUUUAUAUAGAUUAAUAUCAAUGUCCUCUCCAUUUUCUUUAUUAGUCCAUCUGUAUUAAAAGUAAUUUUUAUUUUUGUCGGAAUCCAUCUAUAGUUGAAGGUAACAUUUGUACAUUUUAACCGCUUCUACUAAGGCCCCGUUGUAUUAUCAUAACAUUUUUUUUACCAUCAACAAAAAUAUAUAAUAUAUGUACUAGACUCGAAAAUAACGUGUAAUGCAUUGAAGGAAAAAUGCUCUAUUUCCAUCUUGAACUAUACGAGAAAAGAUUGAGACACAUCCGAACUUUAGGAGGGUCCUAUUACCCUGUGGACUAAUUAAAAUCGUAUUUUUGACUACCUUAGUGCCUAUGUGGCACAACACACUGAAGGGUCCACGUAGGCACUAAAGUUAUCAAAAAUAUGAUUUUAAUUAAUCCAGGAGGGUAAUAGGACCCUCCUAAAGUUCGGUGUGUCUCAGCCUUUUCGCAUAUGGUUCAAGAUAGAAAUAGAGCAUUUUCCCUAAAUUCUAAUUGUCAUAAAAAUUAUUUUUCUUUUCUAUACUAAUAAUGGUGUGUUUUUAUAAGUAUAGUACAAGCCCUAAAAGCAAGACUUAUUAAUGGUCUAAUUAAUGAGCUAAUUGACACUUCUUAGGGAUGGACCCAACCCAACUUUUAUUAACUAUAUUUUGACAAAUUACAAAAUUCACUAUUUUAAGGAGCUUAGGGUCACAUUUAGCUAUUUUUUUUUGAAUAAUAUGUUAAUGCACAAAAUUAAAUACUUUGUAUUUUUACUUAUUGUAAUAAGUAACAUGUCCUAAAUAAGGUAGGAUACACUCCUAAAUAAGGUACAAGAUAUUAGAGAUAUAUACUAAAGAUUUAUCUAUGUACUAAAAAUUUACCUAGGAUGUACAAAAGGAAUAAAAUAAUAUAUAAGAAUUUUCUAAAUUUGGGUCAAAAUCAACAUGUUGAGGUGGCUGAAACCAAGACUGGCCCAAACUAUGUAUUGCAACUGUGAAAAUAUAAACCUCGUUGAUGAACCUAUGAAAUGUUAUACCUGAAAACCUUUUAGGAAACUGAUUGUCAAAAAAAUUCUUCAAGUCUAUACCGAGUUUACCCUAUUGAUAUCACCCGCAUGCAGGUGGUAGGCAUUGCGAUGCGAAGAGCUUUACUUGAAGAAAUAGAAGGAAUAUGUAUCACACGUGUAAAAUCUGAGAAAGUCCUACAUGAAUAUUCAAUCCUAUUUAACAGUGAAUUUAUUAUACACAAGGUUAGAAUUCUUUAAAAGUGAUAUAAUUGUGUAUAUUAUUUAUAUACAACUACUACAUUGAACUAAAAAUCAUAAUUACAUGCAAUUGAUUAUUAAGUAAUCAAAUUAUAUAAAUAUCUUUUUUUACACCAUCUUGAAAUUACAUGUAGUAAUUACUUCUUGAAUAACUUAUAUUUCUUUUAUGAAAAAUUACGCGAUACAACUAAUAUAGCCCUUUAUAUUUACUCGAAAUAGGGACAGUUUAAAAAAAUUAUGAUACGUAGCAAGAGCUUGAGAUUAGUAGAAAAUACACUCAAAUAUACGCGUCUCUUUAUAAAUUUCAAGUGUAUGCACAAACUAUAUUGAGAUACACGUAAUUGUCUGUGUUAGUUGCGGUGAUUUCUGAUGAUGAUACAAGUGUGUCUCAUAAAAUACAAGUGUCAUACAGUGACAUAGAUGCACGGGAAUAUAAUGUAUUCCAUUGCAUUUUAAACAACAUUUCAGUAUAGCGACUAAAUUUUCUAUGAAACCAAUUUUCAUAAUAUGUAAUAUUAUGUGUUCUUUGUAAUAUCAUUUCUCUAUACGAGCCAAAAAAUAUUCGUACAAGUGACAAUGUUAUAUGCUAGCACUUAAUUAUAGAUUCUAAAAAUUUAACUUCAAAUAUCUAUUUGAUUAUGAAAUUUAAUCAGAUUUAAUUUGUCAAAUAUUUUCAACUAUUCAAAAACUAGGCCAGACCAAUUUUCAGGACUUCCACUUGAUGAUGAUGAGCUAUCCAUAGUCUUAUAUAUUCUAGGCUUGCUUCUUAGUUCACCACUAUAGCUAUAAUGUAUAACUUAUUAUUUAUUUAGGUUAUCAUUAAUCAAUAACAUUAAGAGUUGAAUUUAUAUAUAUUGAUAUAGUAUUUAAUCAUGUAAAAACUAGCUUGAAAAAUAAGGAGACUAGAAAAUAAAAAUGCAGUACUGCCUGAGAUUUAAACUUGGAACCUCAAGGCGAAUUUUGAACCCCUAAAUCACUGAGCUAACCUCUAGUCUUGUAUUUAGGAGAUUCAAAAUCUGUAUAUGUACAUAACAUAUCACCUUAUAUAUACAUUGUAAUUUUUUAUCAAGGGGAUUUGGGUGAACACACUCUCUUUAUACAAUGAAAAUACAGUGACAUUAAUACAAUGUAUUUUGCUUGCACGUUAAUAUAACAUAGUCUCGUUUAUCCUGAAAACGAUAUAGUUGAAUUUGUAUAUGAGGCAAGAGCAAGUGUGCUAAAUCUUAGGCUCCAACUUAUUUUAGGUUUAGGGUUUAAGCUAUAAAUAACAAAGAUAAUGAAACACCUUCGUUUUUGAACCUUAAAUUUUUUUCUGGAAUUUCGGUCUCUGGACCCAAUACGUCUCGAGGGUACUAGCCGUAUGUUGGGUCACGGAUGGUAUGGUCCAGCCGUAUGCUGAUCAGUGUUGGUUGGUGGAAUAGAUUUUGGUUACUGAAAUGGAUAUGACUUAGGGGUACGAGUCGUAUUGAUGGUUACGGAUCAUUUGGUUCCUUAAACUUAAUCUUAUACUUGGUUACUUGGGUUGGAUUUAAAUAUGAGUGUCUCACUAUGAGACAUAAGCCAGGGUACGAGUCGUACCAGGACUCGUAUGGUGGACAGUAUCUAAAUCUUCCUUGGGUUUAAAUCUGCCAGGGGUACGGAUCGUAUGCUUCAGAUACAACUUGGUUGGAUGAGUCGUAUGCUGGACAAUGUUUGGUCCAAAGGUUGAGGCUAGGAUACGAGUGGAGGGUACCACUCUUAUUGGAAGGGUACGACUCGUUAGGGUCAGUUGUACCCCUGUGACGGAAUUUUUGGGCAACUUAAGUGGGGGUAUUCUAGACAUUUCUCCACUUAUCCUAAUAAGGUCCCACGAUCUCUAACCUACUUGGGAGGUCAUUUACCCUAUUAUUCCAUUCAUUAACACUUAGAAACUCUUCUAAAUACUAUAAUUCUCUCAAAAGCUUUUGGGCAAGGGAAGCUAGGGUUUCAACUAGAGGAUUGAUUUGAGGCUUGUCUUGGUGAUUUCUUUCCUUCAUCAUCUUGGUUUAAGGCAUGUUCUCUUACCUCAUUGUUAAUUCUAUCUAAAAACAUGAUUUUAUGAAUGUUCUCAUGAUUUCAUUGAUUGUAUGAUUUUGGUUUUCAAAUAUGAAUUGGGGGUUUUGAUAUUAAAUGGUUGGUUAUGGUUUCCCAUGAUUUUAAUUAUGCUUUUACAUGCAUUAAUGUGAUUUUGGAUAAUUGGAUUGCAUGAGAAUGGUUUAAUGGUAAUUGGAAUUGGUUUUAGACAUAUUGAGAUACACGUAAUUAUCUGUGUUAGUUGAGGUGAUUUUUGAUGAUGAUACAAGUGUGUCUUAUAAAAUACAAGUGUCAUACAGUGACAUAGAUGUGUUAGCCCAUAUGUUAUUGGGCCUUUAGUUUAUGGACCUUUAGGUUAUUGGCUAUGUAUAUAUAGCCUACUUUUGUUUAGUUAGUUUCAGGCUUUUUCAGAUUAUAUUGUAAACCUUAGCCUUUCUUCCUUUCAAUAAAGUUCUAUUAACAUGGUAUCAAAGCUAGUUCGAUCCAUGUCCUUUGAUUUGUUGGUUGAAGAUUUUGUAGCAGGCACCUACUGCGCGGAUCGAACUUUUUUGGUUGGAUUGAUUCGUUGCUGUCUUCGUUUGCUGUCUGGUAUUGUUCGUCUUUCGUUCUUUUGCUUGCUGCCAUUGUUGUUCGUUCGGAAUUGUUCAACCUAGGGUUUUGCAUCUUUUUGUUUUUUGAAUUGUUUGUGUGUUGCUGUGUUUACAAUGACUGGAAAGGAUGAUUCUCUCCAGUCCAUUAGUACUCAAUUAGAUGGUAAGAACUAUGCAUAUUGGAGUUAUGUCAUGAAGAAUUUUCUUCGUGGGAAGAAUAUGUGGGGUUAUAUCACUGGAGUAAAACCAAGACCUAUCGAUGAUAAAACUGAAAAUUUUGAUUUGUUGGUGGACUUAUGGGAAACUAAUAACUCCAAGAUUAUCACUUGGAUCAACAAUUCUGUAACUCAGUCAAUUGGUAUGCAAUUGGCUAAGUAUGACACAGCAAAGGAGGUCUGGGAUCAUUUGGAAAGACUGUACACUCAGUCUAAUUUUGCUAAGCAGUACCAGUUGGAGUAUGAUAUCCGUGCUCUUCAACAGCAUGAUCUCAGUAUUCAAGAUUUUUAUGCUGCCAUGUCGGAUUUGUGGGAUCAAUUGGCACUUACUGAAUCUGCAGAGUUAAAAGGUUUUGGGCCGUACAUUGCUAGACGGGAAGAGCAACGCUUGGUUCAGUUUUUGAUGGCACUACGUUCUGACUUUGAGGGCCUACGUGGAACAAUCCUUCAUCGAUCUCCCCUCCCUACUGUUGAUUCUGUGGUUCAUGAACUGAUUGCAGAGGAGACUCGUAUCAAGUCUCAAGUGGAUAAAGGGUCUAAAGUAACUACUACUCCUGUCGUGUUUGCUGCUUCAACUGAUCAGUCUAGGCCACCACGUACUCAGACUCGACAAUCUCCUAAAGUUGCAUUUGAUGAGUGUGCAUUCUGCAAACAGAAAAAUCAUUGGAAGGCUCAGUGUCCGUUGUUACUUAACAAGGUCAAACAGCCUCAAUCUGGGCAGCAACAGAAAUAUGGGCAGCAAAAGUAUCCGUCACGCCCAUCUGGUGCUCCUCCGUGGUCAUCUCGUCCUCCACAGUUCGCUGCUGCUGCACCAUCUGUAGAUGUUGAGUCUGUUAGCACUAUGCCACCUUCUGCGUUGGAUCCCCAGGUUUUCGAACAGUUCAGACAGUUCUUCGUUUCUAAUCCUACGGCCAUGUCAGCAUCUAUGUCUCAUUCGGGUUCAGUUUCUUCUAGUACCUCAGGUAUUCCUUCCUCCUUGUGGAUAUUGGAUUCUGGUGCGUCUCAUCACAUGUCCCCUCAUUUGUCAUCGUUUGGUUCUUUGUCACCCAUUUCACCAAUCUCUGUUAUGUCCGCGAGUGCUGUACCUAUGUCAGUCGAGGGUGUUGGUUCUGUUACUACCCCUCACAUUGUCCUCUCUGAUGUUUAUUACAUUCCCAAACUUGCUUUAAAUCUUGUUUCGGUCAGUCAGUUGUGUAAGGCUGGUAAUUGGGUGUUUUUUUCUGAUUCUGUUUGUGUUAUACAGGACCAACACACUCAGAGGGUGAUUGGGACCGGCCGUAGGUUGGGGGAACUCUAUGUCUUGGAGAAUCUCAAAGUGUCUGUAGUUGCUGCCUCUAGCAUAGAUUUAUCUUCUUUUCGUUUGAGUCCUUUGUCUUCUCAGUUUUAUCUUUGGCAUUCCAGAUUAGGACAUGUGUCAGUUUCACGUUUACGUUUUUUGGUCUCUAGUGGUGCUUUGGGUCAUGUGAACACUAGUGAUAUUUCAGAUUGUAGUGGUUGUAAACUGGCAAAAUUUUCUGCCUUACCGUUUAAUAAAAGUGUGUCUUAUUCUGUUGCUCCUUUUGAUAUUAUUCAUUCUGAUGUAUGGGGACCAGCGCCAGUAUCCACUAAGGGUGGAUCGACCUAUUAUGUUUCGUUUAUAGAUGACUAUACUCGUUAUACCUGGGUGUAUCUUAUGAAACGCAGAUCUGAUUUCUUUGGCAUUUACAACAACUUUAGAGCCCUUGUUAAAACACAACAUUCGGCUGUGAUAAAGUGUUUCAGGUGUGACUUAGGGGGUGAAUAUACCUCUAAUGACUUCACUCAGUUACUUGCCUCUGAUGGUACCAUACACCAGUCAUCUUGUACCGACACUCCUGAGCAGAACGGUCUGGCAGAAAGAAAACAUCGUCAUAUUGUUGAGACAGCACGCUCUUUACUUUUGUCUGCAGAGGUUCCUAGUAUUUUUUGGGGAGAAGCAGUUCUAACUGCUGUAUAUGUGAUUAAUCGUAUUCCUACUGCAUUGACUUCAGGGAUGUCUCCGUUUGAGAAACUAUAUGGUCACCCGCCGAAUUAUUCUGCAUUACGAGUUUUUGGAUGUACUUGCUUUGUUCUUCGUCCUCAUGUUGAACGAAAUAAGUUAGGGUCAAAAUCAGCUAUAUGUGUGUUUUUGGGGUAUGGUAUUGGACAAAAAGGAUAUCGUUGCUAUGAUCCUGUAAGUCAGAAAUUAUAUGUUUCACGACAUGUCACUUUUUUGGAACAUAUUCCUUUUUAUUCCAUUCCAGCUAAAACCCAUGAUGUGACAAAGUCAGAUAUUCGGCUUAUUGAUCCCUUUGGGAUUGACAUAGAGGUUCCAGUUCCGGAUUCAUCCAUGCCAUCUGGUGUGCCACCUGAUAGUGCUUCAGCCUCGCCUGUGCCUGAGUCUGCUCCUUCGACUGUUGAGACUGGAGACCCACCACCUCUGAGGAGGUCUACUCGACCUUGUAAGUCCACCAAACUGCCAGAUUUUUACUAUUCUACAUAUUCAGCCUCAUUUGCUUCCUUUAUUGCAAACAUACAUCAUUUGUCUGAACCUGAGUCGUAUAGAGAGGCUGUGUCUGAUCCUCUUUGGCAGAAUGCUAUGGCUGAGGAACUUGCUGCUCUUCAUCAUACACAUACAUGGGAUUUGGUUACUCUCCCACCUGGUAAGCAUGCGAUUGGUUGUCGAUGGGUGUAUAAGAUAAAAACAAAAUCUGAUGGGUCUGUUGAGCGAUACAAGGCAAGACUUGUGGCAAAAGGGUAUUCACAACAAUAUGGUAUGGAUUAUGAGGAGACUUUUUCCCCCGUAGCAAAGAUGACGACUGUUCGCACUAUGAUUGCUGUUGCAUCCGUUCGACAGUGGAAGAUAUUUCAGAUGGAUGUCAAGAAUGCUUUUCUGAAUGGUGAUCUCCACGCGGAAGUUUAUAUGACUCCUCCCCCAGGUAUUGACCACCAGCCAGGUGAAGUUUGUCGGCUUCGAAAAGCUUUAUAUGGUCUCAAACAAGCCCCUCGUGCUUGGUUUGAGAAAUUCUCCACUGUUAUUACUUCCCUUGGAUUUGUCCCGAGUAACCAUGAUUCAGCAUUGUUUGUUAGAUGUACAAGUGCAGGGCGAAUUCUAUUGUCCUUAUAUGUAGAUGAUAUGAUUAUUACUGGUGAUGAUCAUAGUGGUAUUGAGUUAUUGAAGCAUGAUUUGGCUCAUCGAUUUGCAAUGAAGGACUUGGGCUUGCUGCGUUAUUUUCUGGGUAUUGAGGUGGCUCAGUCUAAGAAAGGGUAUCUUCUUUCUCAGACUAAGUAUAUAUCUGACUUGUUUACACGGGCGCGUCUUUCUGACAACAGGACUGUAGAUACUCCCCUUGAAACCAAUGCACGUUACUCUCCUAGUGAUGGUGUUCCAUUAUCAGAUCCGAGUCUUUAUCGGACUAUUGUGGGUAGUUUGGUUUAUCUUACGGUUACUCGUCCAGAUAUAGCACAUGCAGUUCAUGUUGUUAGCCAGUUUGUUACUGCUCCUACUUCUGUGCACUGGGGAGCUGUACUUCGUAUUCUAAGGUAUCUUCGUGGCACUCAGUUUCAGAAUCUCUUGUUUCCCUCGACGUCAUCUCUCGAGUUGCGAGCCUAUAGUGAUGCUGAUUGGGAUGGAGAUCGCAAUGAUCGUAAAUCCACCACUGGUUUUUGUGUGUUUCUUGGAGACUCUUUAAUCUCGUGGAAGAGCAAGAAACAAGAUGUUGUCUCUAGAUCUUCCACGGAGGCUGAGUAUCGUGCUAUGGCUGUGACUACAUGUGAGAUUAUUUGGUUACGUUGGCUUCUUGCAGAUAUGGGGGUUCACAUUUCUAUGCCUACUCCCCUGCAUUGUGAUAACAAAAGUGCGGUACAAAUUGCAAAGAAUUCUGUCUUCCAUGAGCGUACGAAGCACAUUGAGAUUGAUUGUCACUUCACCCGUCAUCAUUUACAGCUCGGGACCAUAUCGCUUCCUUUUGUUCCAUCGUCUUUGCAGAUUGCUGACCUUUUUACGAAGGCUCAGUCGGCGUCUCGAUUUCGUUUUUUGUGUGACAAACUCUCAAUGCUUAUUGCUGUUGCAUUGUGAGUUUGAGGGGGGAUGUUAGCCCAUAUGUUAUUGGGCCUUUAGUUUAUGGACCUUUAGGUUAUUGGCUAUGUAUAUAUAGCCUACUUUUGUUUAGUUAGUUUCAGGCUUUUUCAGAUUAUAUUGUAAACCUUAGCCUUUCUUCCUUUCAAUAAAGUUCUAUUAACAAGAUGCACGGGAAUAUAAUGUAUUCCAUUGCAUUUUAAACAACAUUUCAGUAUAGCGACUAAAUUUUCUAUGGAACCAAUUUUCAUAAUAUGUAAUAUUAUGUGUUCUUUGUAAUAUCAUUUCUCUAUACGAGCCAAAAAAUAUCCGUACAAGUGACAGCGUUAUAUGCUAGCACUUAAUUAUAAAUUCUAAAAGUUAAACUUCAAAUAUCUAUUUGACUAUGAAAUUUAAUCAGAUUUAAUUUGUCAAAUAUUUUCAAGUAUUCAAAAAUUAGCUCAUCCAUAGUCUUAUAUAUUCUAGGCUUGCUUCUUAGUUCACCACUGUAACUAUAAUGAAAUCCUCUUUAUAUACAUACAUUCAAGAAGCAAUAAAUGUUUUAUAUUAUUAUCUAGUGUAAUUUAAGUUGUUACACACUAUUAUUAUUUAUUUAGGUUAUCAUUAAUCAAUAAUAUUAAGAGUUUAAUUUAUAUAUAUUGAUAUAGUAUUUAAUCAUGUAAAUACUAGCUAGAUAAAUAAGGAGACUAGAAAAAUAAAAAUGUAGUGCAUGAAAUUUAAACAUGAAGCCAAAAAGGUGAAUUUUGAACCCCUACACUACUGAGCUAACCUCUAGUCUUGUGUUUUAGGGGAUUCAAAAUUUGUAUAUGUACAUAACAUAUUACUUUAUAUAUACAUUGCAAUUUUUUGUCAAGAGGCCUCGAGUGAACACCCUCCCUUUAUACAAUGAAAAGACAGUGACACUAAUGCAAUGUAUUUUGCUUGCACGUUAAUAUAAUAUAUUCUCGUUUACGUUGAAAACGGUACAGUUGAAUUUGUAUAUGAGGUCAAGAGAAAGUGUGUUAAAUCUAACUCUGUUUAUGAAUCAUUUAGCACCAAAUCGAUUAUCUAUGUAACGAACAACAAUGCAUAAAUGCAUAAAAUAAAGCGAUAACUAUAAAAUCAGAUAGAGAGAAGUAGUCGAAAGAUGAUUUUAUUCCUUAAGCAUCCAAGCUUUAAAUACAAUAAAUAACAACAACAUAUAGCUAAACAUAUGGAAGCUAAUUGUUACGUAUACUCCUGAAUAAUUGGAGUCUUCUACAGAUAUACAACAACAGUAAAUUCCUACAAUAGGAGUCUUCUAUAGAUACAAAAAAGCAGUACCUAUAACAGUAUCUUAUUUAUACACAACAACAACAACAACAACAAACCCAGUGUAUUCCCACCUAGUGGGGUCUGGGGGGGUAAGAUGUACGCAGUCCAUACCUCUACCUCUGAUGAAGUAGAAAGACUGUUUCCGAAAGACCCCCGGCUCAAGGCACGAGAUACCACACAAACACAUAGUAAAGCAUAGAAGCAGAUUACAUAACAUAAAUACGGCACCCAUAAGUAUUAUAAAAUAGAGGAAAGCACACAGAUUCGUAAUAAAACAUGGAACACGGAACACGGAAUCAUAACAGGAAUAAAACCCCCACNNNNNNNNNNNNNNNNNNNNNNNNNNNNNNNNNNNNNNNNNNNNNNNNNNNNNNNNNNNNNNNNNNNNNNNNNNNNNNNNNNNNNNNNNNNNNNNNNNNNNNNNNNNNNNNNNNNNNNNNNNNNNNNNNNNNNNNNNNNNNNNNNNNNNNNNNNNNNNNNNNNNNNNNNNNNNNNNNNNNNNNNNNNNNNNNNNNNNNNNNNNNNNNNNNNNNNNNNNNNNNNNNNNNNNNNNNNNNNNNNNNNNNNNNNNNNNNNNNNNNNNNNNNNNNNNNNNNNNNNNNNNNNNNNNNNNNNNNNNNNNNNNNNNNNNNNNNNNNNNNNNNNNNNNNNNNNNNNNNNNNNNNNNNNNNNNNNNNNNNNNNNNNNNNNNNNNNNNNNNNNNNNNNNNNNNNNNNNNNNNNNNNNNNNNNNNNNNNNNNNNNNNNNNNNNNNNNNNNNNNNNNNNNNNNNNNNNNNNNNNNNNNNNNNNNNNNNNNNNNNNNNNNNNNNNNNNNNNNNNNNNNNNNNNNNNNNNNNNNNNNNNNNNNNNNNNNNNNNNNNNNNNNNNNNNNNNNNNNNNNNNNNNNNNNNNNNNNNNNNNNNNNNNNNNNNNNNNNNNNNNNNNNNNNNNNNNNNNNNNNNNNNNNNNNNNNNNNNNNNNNNNNNNNNNNNNNNNNNNNNNNNNNNNNNNNNNNNNNNNNNNNNNNNNNNNNNNNNNNNNNNNNNNNNNNNNNNNNNNNNNNNNNNNNNNNNNNNNNNNNNNNNNNNNNNNNNNNNNNNNNNNNNNNNNNNNNNNNNNNNNNNNNNNNNNNNNNNNNNNNNNNNNNNNNNNNNNNNNNNNNNNNNNNNNNNNNNNNNNNNNNNNNNNNNNNNNNNNNNNNNNNNNNNNNNNNNNNNNNNNNNNNNNNNNNNNNNNNNNNNNNNNNNNNNNNNNNNNNNNNNNNNNNNNNNNNNNNNNNNNNNNNNNNNNNNNNNNNNNNNNNNNNNNNNNNNNNNNNNNNNNNNNNNNNNNNNNNNNNNNNNNNNNNNNNNNNNNNNNNNNNNNNNNNNNNNNNNNNNNNNNNNNNNNNNNNNNNNNNNNNNNNNNNNNNNNNNNNNNNNNNNNNNNNNNNNNNNNNNNNNNNNNNNNNNNNNNNNNNNNNNNNNNNNNNNNNNNNNNNNNNNNNNNNNNNNNNNNNNNNNNNNNNNNNNNNNNNNNNNNNNNNNNNNNNNNNNNNNNNNNNNNNNNNNNNNNNNNNNNNNNNNNNNNNNNNNNNNNNNNNNNNNNNNNNNNNNNNNNNNNNNNNNNNNNNNNNNNNNNNNNNNNNNNNNNNNNNNNNNNNNNNNNNNNNNNNNNNNNNNNNNNNNNNNNNNNNNNNNNNNNNNNNNNNNNNNNNNNNNNNNNNNNNNNNNNNNNNNNNNNNNNNNNNNNNNNNNNNNNNNNNNNNNNNNNNNNNNNNNNNNNNNNNNNNNNNNNNNNNNNNNNNNNNNNNNNNNNNNNNNNNNNNNNNNNNNNNNNNNNNNNNNNNNNNNNNNNNNNNNNNNNNNNNNNNNNNNNNNNNNNNNNNNNNNNNNNNNNNNNNNNNNNNNNNNNNNNNNNNNNNNNNNNNNNNNNNNNNNNNNNNNNNNNNNNNNNNNNNNNNNNNNNNNNNNNNNNNNNNNNNNNNNNNNNNNNNNNNNNNNNNNNNNNNNNNNNNNNNNNNNNNNNNNNNNNNNNNNNNNNNNNNNNNNNNNNNNNNNNNNNNNNNNNNNNNNNNNNNNNNNNNNNNNNNNNNNNNNNNNNNNNNNNNNNNNNNNNNNNNNNNNNNNNNNNNNNNNNNNNNNNNNNNNNNNNNNNNNNNNNNNNNNNNNNNNNNNNNNNNNNNNNNNNNNNNNNNNNNNNNNNNNNNNNNNNNNNNNNNNNNNNNNNNNNNNNNNNNNNNNNNNNNNNNNNNNNNNNNNNNNNNNNNNNNNNNNNNNNNNNNNNNNNNNNNNNNNNNNNNNNNNNNNNNNNNNNNNNNNNNNNNNNNNNNNNNNNNNNNNNNNNNNNNNNNNNNNNNNNNNNNNNNNNNNNNNNNNNNNNNNNNNNNNNNNNNNNNNNNNNNNNNNNNNNNNNNNNNNNNNNNNNNNNNNNNNNNNNNNNNNNNNNNNNNNNNNNNNNNNNNNNNNNNNNNNNNNNNNNNNNNNNNNNNNNNNNNNNNNNNNNNNNNNNNNNNNNNNNNNNNNNNNNNNNNNNNNNNNNNNNNNNNNNNNNNNNNNNNNNNNNNNNNNNNNNNNNNNNNNNNNNNNNNNNNNNNNNNNNNNNNNNNNNNNNNNNNNNNNNNNNNNNNNNNNNNNNNNNNNNNNNNNNNNNNNNNNNNNNNNNNNNNNNNNNNNNNNNNNNNNNNNNNNNNNNNNNNNNNNNNNNNNNNNNNNNNNNNNNNNNNNNNNNNNNNNNNNNNNNNNNNNNNNNNNNNNNNNNNNNNNNNNNNNNNNNNNNNNNNNNNNNNNNNNNNNNNNNNNNNNNNNNNNNNNNNNNNNNNNNNNNNNNNNNNNNNNNNNNNNNNNNNNNNNNNNNNNNNNNNNNNNNNNNNNNNNNNNNNNNNNNNNNNNNNNNNNNNNNNNNNNNNNNNNNNNNNNNNNNNNNNNNNNNNNNNNNNNNNNNNNNNNNNNNNNNNNNNNNNNNNNNNNNNNNNNNNNNNNNNNNNNNNNNNNNNNNNNNNNNNNNNNNNNNNNNNNNNNNNNNNNNNNNNNNNNNNNNNNNNNNNNNNNNNNNNNNNNNNNNNNNNNNNNNNNNNNNNNNNNNNNNNNNNNNNNNNNNNNNNNNNNNNNNNNNNNNNNNNNNNNNNNNNNNNNNNNNNNNNNNNNNNNNNNNNNNNNNNNNNNNNNNNNNNNNNNNNNNNNNNNNNNNNNNNNNNNNNNNNNNNNNNNNNNNNNNNNNNNNNNNNNNNNNNNNNNNNNNNNNNNNNNNNNNNNNNNNNNNNNNNNNNNNNNNNNNNNNNNNNNNNNNNNNNNNNNNNNNNNNNNNNNNNNNNNNNNNNNNNNNNNNNNNNNNNNNNNNNNNNNNNNNNNNNNNNNNNNNNNNNNNNNNNNNNNNNNNNNNNNNNNNNNNNNNNNNNNNNNNNNNNNNNNNNNNNNNNNNNNNNNNNNNNNGACCCUAUCCCCCCAUUACCGUCCACAGCCACAACUACAAGAAAGUACAGGAAAAUAUAAAGAUAUACACGGUGGUAGUAUCAAAGCAGCAGCAAGGAAAUACAAGGCUCACACAAAUUCAAAGGAAUACUCCCGAAACAAAACUAUAUUCAAUUAGGGGGCAAACACCGCUGGAUUCAACACCCACAGCCCCAAAUACAGGUUCCCAGCCAAUAACCCAAAAUUUAAAAUAAUUAUGAUAAUAUGGAAACAGUAUCUUAUUUAUGAUAAUAUAAAAUAAUUAUGCUUAAUACACCUCCUCAAGUUAGGUGUGGUGCAACAAUGCCUAACUUGAAAUGACACCCUUCAAAGGUUGGUUCUGGUAAUUGCUUGGUAAGUGUAUCAGUAAGUUGAUCACAAGCAUGAGUGUGUUUGACAAGGACCCGAUGUCCUUGAACUUGGUUUCUAAAAUAACAAAAGUCCAUAGUGAUAUGUUUCAUAAGGCUAUGGAACACUGGAUUAUGGUAGAGAUAAGUGAUACCGACAUUGUCAUAGAAGAUAUAGGCGUAUUUGGAAUGGUGAUACACAAUUCAUUGAGCAAGUUGCACACUUAUGUGAGUUUUGCAAGAGCAUUUGCAACUGAUUUGUACUCUGUUUCAAUAGAUGAGCGAGCUACAACUUGUUGCUUUUUGCAUGACCAGCUCACAGGAUUGCAUCUAAGGAAAAGAAAAUAACCUGAUGUGGAUUCGAUCAUUCGGGUCUCUCGCCCAAUCAACAUCAGUAUACAUGUAUACAUUGCAGUCUGAGUUGCGAAGAAUAUGAAGACCUAAAGUUGCCGUGGCUUUGAGAUAUUGUAGUAUCCUUUUAACCACCUUCUAGUGUUCAUCAGUAGGAUCAUGCAUAAACUAUGUUAGUUUGUUCACAGCAUAAGAAAUUUCAGGCCGUGUGAAUGAUAAAUAUUAUAACUUACCAAGGGUGCACCUAUAGAGUUUAGCAUUAGCAAGCGGAGAAUUAUCAGCUACUGAGUUAGUUUACCAAAGAACAUUGGUGUCAAAACUCCUUUACAAUUUUGCAUAUUCAAUUCAGACAAAAAUUCAAAGAUUUAUUUCAAUUGAAAGAGAAUAAGACCAUCAGACACUUCUUUUUUGCUCCGACAACAAAAAAGUAGUUAAAAUUGUCAAGAUCCUUUAGAGAAAAAUGAGAACCCAGAGAGUCAAUAACAUGUCUAAUCAAGCUGGGAUGACUUCCCAUGAUUAAAAUAUCAUCAACAUAGACGAUCACAUAAAUAGUAGUAGCCAUAUUCUUCAAAAUAAACAAAGAGGUGUCAGAUUUAGAUUUAAUAAAUCUCAUUUUCUAUUGAUGAUUAUGCAAUGCAGUAUACCAAGUUAGAGGGGCCUGUUUAAGACCAUAAGUGACUUUUUUUAAUCUACAAACAUGAGAAGGGAAUUGUGAAUUGACAAAUCCUUGAGGCUGAGACAUAAAAACCUCUUCAGUCAUCUGGCCUUGUAGGAAAGCAUUGUUGACUUCAAGUUAAUGAAUCAACCAAUUGUAAUGCACUAUUAUGGACAGCACAAGUCGGAUUGUUGUUGGAUUAAUAACUGGACUGAAGGUCUCAUGAAAAUCCAAGCCAGGGUGCUGUGUGAACCUCUUUGCAACAAGGUGAGCUUUGUGUCGAUCUAUAGAACUGUCUGCUUUUCUUUUAAAGGGAUACAACCAUUUGCAGUCCACAAGAUUCUUCGUUGAGUCUCAUGGUACGAAUUCCCAAGUUUGAUUCUUCAUUAAAGCAUCAUAUUCUGCUUGCAUAGCUUGUCUCUACUCUUCAUGGAUGGUAGCUUGUUUGAAGGUUGUUGGUGUAAUAGUGAAUUGAGUUGAAAAAUUGAUUUGUGUUUUGGGCUUAGUAAUAUUAUUCUGGUACCUAGUGGUUAUUCAGUUUACUGCAGGCUCUGGAAUUGGCAUGGGGGUUAAUUAAGGAUGGGACUUUUGCUGCCAAGAAGUGAAAAAGUUGUCAAUAGUGAAUUGGUGGCUGGAUAUAGAACAAUAGAGACUUGGUGUAGAGUGUUAGUGUUAGAUUUAUGUCUUUGAUAUGUUAUAAAAGGUGUAGGUUAUGUGUUUAAGGUUUUAUGAUACUGGAAAAAAGCAGAAGAAAGUGUAGAAUUGCCUGAAAUACUUGCAGUAGUUGCUGGUACUAGGCCAAAAUUGGAGGAGCGAGUAUUUUGUUUUGGUAGUUUGGGUAAAAGGGAUUCUAAGGACAGUGGUAGGUGGUGAUAGACCAAUAGAGGGAUUCUAAGGACAGUGGUAGGUGGUGGUAUAUCAAUAGAGGGUGUUGGAAUGGUAGUGGACUUCAGAGUUUUCUCUUUGAAUUUAACGUCUUCCUAGGUCAGUUGGGAAUUUUUUUUUCUUAUAUGUAGAAACAUUAUUUUAAAAGAUUUCUUUUUUCAUAAAAAAAUACCACGGCUGAUGAAUAUUUUUGACUUUAUUAGGUCAAAGUAAAGGUGUGCAUGAUGGCUUUGAGAAACGCCUAAAUACAUAUAGGGGGUGGACUUAGGCUCCAACUUAUUUUAGCUGUAGGGUUUAAGCUAUAAAUAACAAAGGCAAUGAAACACCUUGGUUUCUAGACCUUAGAAUUUUCUUUGGAAUUCUUGUCUCUGGACCCAAUACAACUCGAGGAUACAAUUCAUAUGUUGGGGUACGAAUGGUAUGGUCCAGUCAUAUGCUGACCAGUGUUGGUUGGUAGGUGGACUUUGGUUACUAGAAUAGAUACGACUUAGGGGUACGAGUCGUAUUGGUGGUUAUGGAUUGUUUGGUUCCCUAACUUAAUAUUAGACUUAGUUACUUAGGUUGGAUUUGAGUACGAGUGGCUCACCAUGAGUCAUAAACAAGGUUACGAGUUGUACCCAGGACUAGUAUGGUGGACAGUUUCUAAAUCUUCCUCGGGUUUAAAUCUGCCAAGGGUAUGAAUGAAGGGUACAAAUCGUAUGCUUCGGAUAUGACUGGUUGGAUGAGUCGUAUGCUGGACAAUGUUUGAUUCAAAGUGUCACACCCCUUUUUCAUCCAAAAAGAAUUAUAUUUUAAAGUUUGAAAGGGUUUUUAUUAUUGAAGUGAUAAAAUGAAUAUUUGUUUCAAAAAGGAUUCUUUUCAAUUAAAUUUAGAGUCUCCAUUUGGCAUAAAUCGGGUGUGCCAAGUCACCUUUGGAAAUCCUUUUUCAAAAUGGUUUGACUCUAAAACUGAUCCGCGAACAGAGAUUCCGGCUAAGGAAUUCUGUUGACCGAGGGGAAGGAAUUAGGCACCCCUCAAUCCCGUGGUUCGACCACGGUCGCUUGGUAGAGAGUAUCGACUAAUUUUGACAUUACAAAUGUAUAAACCACACAAAACACAUAAAACAAUCAAUCAAACCAACAAAACAACCGAAUAAAAAAUAUAGUGUCCAGUCCAAUUAUACAGUCCCGAAUAAUGAAAAAUACGAAAAUGUAAACCUAUUAUAUUCUAAACUAUCCCUAAACCACUCAUGAAUUAAACUCCACCUGACGUUCCGGGCCUUGACCGUCGUUGUCUUCAAGUACAUGAUACUUCGGGGCAUUCCCCGGUGACUAAAUACAAUUUCUUUGGGGCAUUCCCCGACAAAUGAAUAUAAUUUUAAUUUCAUGAGAUAAAUUAGAAAAGCAUUCGACCUGUUCAACAUUCCACGCAUUCAAUCAAACAAUGAAAAACACUUAUUCCUAAAUUGAUGCCUACCUAAACCUAUGUUGCCUAUCCAUUUCCACAUUUCAUAAUUCUUUCACGUUCACACCAUAUUUAUGCUUAUUUCAUAUUAAAUCAAACAAUAAUAAACUCAAAUUAAUCUCAGUUCUAUUUUUCAACUCUACGAUUCCACCCCAAAUCCUUUUCUAUCAAUUACACCGUUAAAACUAAUCAAGUUCGUUCCUCCUACAACUGGAGUCACAUCAUCACACACAUGAUCAUAACAUCAACAACAUCAAACAAUUACAAUCACCCAACACAUAAUUUUAAUCAUUCUAACAAAAUAAAAUAAAGAAGAAAGAAAGGGAGUAAAGAGAUGGACCUCGAGAGCUUUCAAUAGAUUUUAAUGAGAGAAAUAAGAGCUCAUCCAAGAACCUCGAAGAAUUCCUAUGAAAUAUCGAAUCUCUAAAUCAGUCGAGAAAUAGUCCAAAAUGCGAUAACCCCAAAUUCGGUAUUGAAAAUUGAAAACUCAAAAACUUAUCGCGAUUAACAAUUCGAGACGUACGAUAUUCUAAUCUUCAAAUCAGUAGCGAAGACUGAUGAAACCACAACAAAAUAGAAACAGAAACAGACCGGCCCAUAUGUGAGGAUAUCCAAAAAAUUGACCCAAAAUAGAAACAAUUCCAGCAAAAGAUCUGCUGCCAGUUCACAUUUUUUGGCAAAUCCUUAGCUUUUCCAGCUGGUUAUGCCUUGAAAUCAAAGGUAACGGCGAGAUUUUGGGAUUUGGAGGGUGAAUCCGAUCGAACACAAACUAAAAAAAAAACAAUUCCGACGAUAUUUUGCUGGAAUUCUCUCAAAAAAAUGGUCGAAUCUCUGUCUCUCAAACUGUCUUCAUUCUCAAGUUUUCACUGGGUGCGGGUGGUUAUGAUUUGUGGUUGAGAAUUUAGAGAGCGAUUAGUGUGUGCUCAUCCAUGAGAAUUGAAUGGAAGUGAGUGUGUGUUGUGGUGUGAGACGAUCGAAGGAGUGGUGUUAGUGUGUGUUUUCCCGGAGAAGAAAAAAAGGAGCAAAAAUGGAAGUGUUUUCCUCCUCUAUUUUUCUGUUUCUUUGAUAAAAACGUGACCCCCCUUCUUGAAUCCCUUUCUGCGUUUAUAUAUUGUAAAGAAAAGGAAACCCCUAGUGGUCCCCUAAAAAAUGGCCCUCCCCUAUUUCUUUUAUCAUUUUCGUAUAUAAUGGGCAUGGAUUUAUUAUGAUGUGGUAAUUUUGGUGGGUCCUAUAUGUAUUCUUUCUUUGUGGACAAGAAAAAGAAGUGGGAGGGUCACAUGGGUGGAGGGUGGGGUAGCGGGUGAGGUGUUGUCUUUUAAUUAGAGAGGUGGGGUAGUGGGGUGACUUAAUUUCAUAGGAGAGGGUUGUUAAUUAGUUAUCACAAGAAUAUUUUGGUUUAGGUUGGUUAGGGAUUUUGCUAAGAGUUGUUAUUUUUUGUAUUUUUGUGGGAUAUAAUCACAUGGAUGAGGACACGUGGUAAGGUGAGCUAAAAAUGGAUAAAUUCAAUGUUGGGAGAGACAAAAUUAGGUGUCUACUGCAUGCCCCCUUUGAAUGUAAAUAUGAAGUGUUUUCAGACAAAGAAGUAGACAACAAGAUAGAAUUUUAUCCCGACCAUUAUUAAAAGAAGGAAACAGAAGGAAGGAGGGACACCAAGUCUUUACUUAGGAUAUCCUACCUACCCAAGUUAUGAGGGAAUCAAGUGACAGGUAUCUCAAAGGAUUAGAAGGAUAUGGACUAUACCGAAUUGGAGAGUCUAGUGAGGUCCCAUCGAGGUUCAGGUCACGACUCUGUCAUUACAUCCAAAAAUGAAAAAUUACAAGAGUUAAAAAGAUAAAUAAAAUUACAAAAGUACCAUCUAUACAACUUCUUUUGAACUCUUGACUUGAGUUUCAUCACCCUAUUCUUCAGGCGGGCUCCUGACUUGCAAUUUUUUAAUUUUUUGCUUGGCUUUCACUUGUUUCACCUUGUUGGUUAACUUUCCAUUUAUUCGCCUUGUGCUUCGGGCGGGCUCCAAUGUUACUUGAGUUAUCCAAACAAGGAAGUACGUUUCCUUACAAAUGCCACUUGAAUUGCCCAAACAAGGAAGUGUGUCUCCUUAUAGAUGUUGCUUGAAUUACCCAAACAAGGAAGUACGUCUCCUUACAGAUGUUGCUUGAAUUACCAAAAUAAGGAAGUGCAUCUCCUUACGAAUACCAGUUGAAUUAGCUAAACAAGAAAGUGCGUCUCCUUACAAAUGCUGCUUGAAUUACCCAAACAAAGAAAUACGUUUCCUUACAAAUGUUGCUAGAAAUACCCAAACAGGAAAGUGCGUCUCUUUACCAAUGCCUCUUGAAUUACCAAAACAAGGAAGUGCGUCUCCUUACCACUGCUGCUUAAAUUACCAAAAUAAGAAAGUGCGUCUCCUUAUCAAUGUUGCUUGAAUUAUUCAAACAAGGAAGUGCGUCUCCUUACAAAUGUUGCUUGAAUUGUCCAAAUAAGGAAGUGCGUCUCCUUACAAAUGCUGCUUGAUUGCCCAAACAAGAAAGUGCAUCUCCUUACAAAUACCGCUAGAAUUACCAAACAAGGAAUUGGAUCUCCUUACAAAUACCGCUUGAAUUACCAAACAAGAAAGUGUAUUUUCUUACAAAUGCUGUGAAUUACCAAAACAAGGAAGUGUGUCUCCUAAAAAAUGUCUCUUGAAUUACCUAAAUAAGGAAAUGUGUCUCCUUAACAAUGCCGCUUGAAUUAAAAAAACAAGGAAGUGCGUCUUCUCAUAAAAGCCGCUUGAAUUACCCAAACAAGGAAGUGUGUCUCCUUACCAAUGUCGCUUGAAUUACCAAAAUAAGAAAGUGUGUCUCCUUACAAAUGUUGCUUGAAUUACCCAGAUAAGGAAGUGCAUCUCCUUAGAAAUGUUGCUUGAAUUGCCAAACAAGAAAGUGCGUCUCCUCACAAAUGCUACUUGAAUUAUCAAAACAAGGAAGUGCAUCUCCUUACCAAUGCCGCUUGAAUUACCUAAACAAGGAAGUGCGUCUCCUUAUGAUACCACUUGAAUUACCAUUCAAGGAAGUGCAUCGCCUUACCAAUGCUGCUUGAAUUACCAAAAAAAGGAAGUGUGUCUCCUUACAAAUGUUGCUUGAAUUACCAAACAAGGAAAUGCGUAUCCUUACAAAUGUCUCUUGAAUUACCCAAACAAGAAAGUGUGUCUCCUUACAAAUGUUGCUUGAAUUACCUAAAUAAGGAAGUGUGCCUCCUAGAUAUAAUGGAUUAUGAGUUUUACCAUGGCUUUGAAUACCAAAUCUGUGCAGCAAUAUUGCCUCUUAUAUUUGUAGAAGUGAGAAUAUUAUACCUUUGAUGUUUAGGAUUUGAAAUCCUUGAUUCGAAGGUAGCAUGUGUUCCUGUUUCAUACAAAGAAAACUUGUUAGUUUAAAAAACAUGGUGGCUGGUUUGUGGCUUUGGCUUUCGUGAAAAUCGCUCUUGCCCCUGUCACAUUUAAUCUUACUUUCAACCAUUAGCAUGUGUCACUGACUUGCUGCAUCAUUGACCCGAACUCAGAUUAUUAAGAGUGACUCUAAAACAGAUACAAUAUCUCUGCUUUGUCAUGCUUCUCAGAUAAACCCUUUGAACCUUGGUAUUUUCAUGAGUCCCAGACUUGUUGGUUGACAAAACUUUCUACAUGCUUUAUUUUGGAUCACAAUCAUGUCUCUUUCAUGUGCUGGCCUUUUGUCUUGCUUUGUGUAAUUAAAGAAGCUGGUAGCCAAUUUUGAAAUCUUUGCUGACUUGUUUUGACAUGUAGUUGACUCAAAGACAAGCGAAAAAUGACAGUGAUUUUAUUUGGAAAACUGACUAAAGAAAAGAAAAAAAAUAAAAAAAAGAAAGAAAAAACAAUGAAUGUCCCCGUUUGAAAUAAAGAAAUGAAAAAUUUAUAAAGAAAUGAAAAAUUAAUGACAGUCAACUCUAAUGAAUAUGCCAUGCAUUUUGGAUUAAGCAGUUUGAUAUUUUCAUCCAAACUUUCUACAAACUGUUGUUGAGUUAAUGGCCUCGAAACUGAGUUGCUUCCUUAGGUCAAUUGCAUUUAAACCUCAUUCGGCUAGUGGUGCCUUGAAGGGUUUUCGCCAACAAGCCUCUUCCUUUCUCUCAACUCACCAUUGACUUUAUAUCCGUAAGGGUUUUUCACUGAUUAAACUCUCUUAUUUUUAUUUCUCUCAACUCACAGUGGUCUUAUGGUGCCUGUGAGGGUUUUCACCAAUAAGACUCUCUCAUUUUUAUUUCUCUUAAGAUUCUUAUUACUGAGGUAGACAAGUAGUUCCCAAAAUGUGUCAUCACAUUCAUUGCAUGCUUAGUCUUAACAUUCUCAAAGAUUGAUCUGAAGGUCUUUCUUUGGUUGUAACUUGGUUUUUGGAUAGGAUUAGAAAGAACGGAUAGCAUGAGGCCCAAACGACACUUGAAGUUGGGUAGGACUUACAACUUUUGGAAUCAGCUCAAACAAUAAGGAUUAACUCAUGCCCUAGUUUCUUUUGACUGGGUGAUUCUAAAUUGUUUAUUUGGUUGGACCGAGCCCGAAGCAGGGCAGCCGAUGUAUCUCACCCCCGAGAAGGGAGAAUCAGGUCACGCGUAGUUUUGACAGCUUGUUCUUUUGAUUGAUUCUGAUUUUUGUUUCUCUUUUUCUCUCUUUUCUCUUUGGGAUUUUUUUUGACCUUAUUUUUGAUACUCUACUCUUUUCUUUACUUUUGGACACAUUUUUUUCGACACUUUUCUUUUGAGUUUUACUGACUCUAUCUUGAUUCCUAAAGAGGGGUAUGAAAUAAAAUAGGACUAAAGCUCAAAUGGGGUAAACAAAGAAUGACACAAUGUUUGGAUAGCAGAAUGAAAUGCCUUCUUCAUAUCAAUCCUUAAAAAUGCAAGUACAUAUCAUGCAAUAUGGAAGUGAAAGAUGAAGAUCAUUUUGUGACAUCUUUUGCAGCAUUAACUUUGACUGAGUUUGUGCGUCACUAUUUCGUCUGCACUUUUAUAGCAUACAACUCCACUUUUGUUGCAUAUUCCUUACAUUGAAUGACUCAUGAUUUUGUGGAGCUGAUUUUCAUUCUGUUCACCCAGCCACUAUUUGACCUAAUUGAGACAUGUCUUUCAAUUGAUGACCAAGUUAUUCUUGUGAUUCUCAAAAUAAGUGCCUUAAUUUUCAAAGAAGGCUUUAACUUGUUACCAAAUGUCUUAGCACUCUACCUAUUUCCUCAGAUGUUCUCUUUUACUAACUUAAACCUCUGAUUCAAUGUUUCAUGGUUAAAUUGGAUUUUAAGAUCUGACUGAAAAUUCCGCUAGCAUGUCAUAUCACUAGAAUCAACAUAAAAUAAACUAUGUGAAAAAAACAAACAAACAACAUAUAUUUGAACACAAAGGGAAAAAGAGGCACUCUAUUUAAUUGAAAUAAAAGAUAGAGGGUUCGAACAUAAACGACAAAGGGACAAAACAAGAUAAAUCUUGAACUACAACCCUGAAAUACUUCAAAAAAUAGAAAAAAAACAAAACAAACUACCAGACCUCUUCCUAGUAGGGAGAGGGGUGACUUCUUAAUUGCUCUGCCUGACAACUUAGCCACUAUUUUGCCUAUCAACAUGACUGAAGCUUCCCUCACUGUCAAUGUUCUGCACCAUAAUUGAUCCAUUUUGAAUCAUCUUUUCAAUUUCUCUUUUCAAAUCUCGACAAUUUUCAAUACUAUGACCCUGAGCAUCAGAAUAAUAUGUACAUCGUGCAACAUUAGGAUCAAAAUUUCUUAAAUGUCGAUUAGGAGUGUGCCCAAAGAGAGGAGCAAUCAUGCCCCUCUGUCUCAAUCUCUGGAACAAACUGGCAUAGGAUUCCCCAUUAAGAGUGAAAUUAUCCUUUUCCUUCCUCCUCCUUGCAAACUCUAGCCUCGGAUAAAACUUAGAUUUAGAGGUUCCUAGGUAAAUUUGUGGGGGUCAAGGACGAUGUUGAGAGACAGAUGCAUGCCACUGCGCAUAAAAAGACGUAUGGGUACACAAUUGUAAAUUGGUCAAAGGACAUUGAGGAAGUAGAAUCAAACUCCUUGGAUUUUGAAAAGAGGAACCUUGUUGCAGAUGAGUAAGUGAAUUUUAUAUGUAAGCUCAAGAUUGAGGCUGACAGUAUUAGUGAGUUGGGCCUUUUAAACUCUGCUUUCGUCCUGGCACGACAAUAGGUGUGUUUCUCUUCUUUUUUCCUUCAGUUUCCCUUGAUUAAUUGCAAUAUUGUCCUAAAUGUUUCACAGAAUCAUGUUGUAAACCAAGCUCCUCAAAUUUUGAUAUCUCAAAGCUUGAAAGAAGGUUAAAACUUGACAACAUGCCCCAGUUUUUGUAUGAAACAUCUUCAUAGCCUACAAGUCCCAAGGAACUUUUCAUAUCAUUUUCUACACUCUUAACUUUACCAACCAUUUCCUCUGGCUCUUCUAGCAUGCUAGGCUUUUUAGUAAGAAAUUUUGGCGGUCCACUUAAUUCAACAAUAGGGUCAAGAGUAUAACAAUGAUCAUCAAGAGUAUUGAACGUGGAUUCACUAGUGGAUUGGGGACGCACAAUCGUUGGAUUGAUAGCCAAAGUGGAAGCCUUAAUAGAAGGUUGAGCAACAAAAACACAGACGGUAUGUGGUGCUGUGAAUGUGGUAGACUUAUACUAAGGAGCUAAAGAAAGAGUGGUGGAAGUAUUGAGGUGCAUUUGAUGUGGAAUGGAUUCUGAGGCAUGCUGUGGUGCAUCAACAACAGAAGGAAACUGACUUUGCGAUUUUGGUGGAAGACUCAAGGUAUUUACAGGGUCAAAAGUGGGGAACGGAGGUGGAGGCAGCCCACUGGCCCAAGCUCGAUACAUUUUCAUCAUUUGUUGUCUCAGUCUCAAAUUCUCUUCCUUUAAACUCUAAUUUUUCUGACUCUUUGUUUCAUCCAUGAUGCUACUCUCUAUAUCCUUGUUGGACACAACUAAUCCUUCCUUGGAUUUGGUGUGAUGUGAAGGACCAACCAAGAAGCCACAAACCAACCACCUUAAACUAACUGAACAAGAAGCAACAAAUAUGUUAGAGUUCAACAUUUUUUCUUCAAAACCCUUUUUUUUUCUUUUGGAAAAGAUCACAAGGAGGGCGCCUACGUAUCUCACUCCCGAGAGAGGAGAAUCAGGUAUGCGUAGUUCGUGAAGUCUUGCCAAAAUGGCCAAUUAAUAUUUUUUCCUUUCUUUUUUUCUUUUUCUUGAAACUUUAAAAAGAGAAGAAAAUAACAAAUUGUCAAAAGAAUAGAUUGUCAAAAGAAUAGACUCUUUUAGAAUUUUUCACGUUUAAAAUUCCUAUACAAAAUGAAACCUAUGAUUACCAAAGAAAAAUCUUUUUGGAUUUUCAAUUUUGAAUUUCAUAUGAAAAUGAAACUUGAACCUAUUAAAGAAAAAUCUUUUUGUAGUUUUUUUUUUUAUAGAUGUAUAUGAAACACUUACUCUAAAUAAAAGUGAAGAAAAUCUUUUUGAAUUUUUGAGAUAAGAUCAACCAAAAAUGAAACCUAAGACUAUUGAGGAAUUUUCUUUUUGUAUUUUCUUUUCAAGACAUGUAUGAAACACCUACUCUAAAUGAAAAGUGAAGAAAAUCUUUUUGGAUUUUUUUAAAUAAGAUCCCCGAACCUAUAAUAGGCUGCCUACGUAUCUCACUCCCGAGAGAGGAGAAUCAGGGGUGCGUAGUUUGUUCAGAUUGGACAAUUAAUGAUUAAAUAACAGAUUGCACCCUGACUUGAGGCACGACCAAGACACACGAUGAACAACAUAACAAUUUUUUUUUUGAGUUUUCAAUUUGACACUUCACAUAAAAAACGACACCAACAGCUAUGAAAGAAUUUUUUUUGGUAUUUUUGUAAUAAGAAAUGUUCAAAACUUCUACAACCCUUUUUUUGAAUUUUUCUUUUAUAAAAAGCUCCUGAAAAAAUCUUUUUGGAGUUUUCGAAUUGUGAAUGCUUGCUAAAGGAAACAAAAGGAAAAUUUUUUUGAUGAUAUUUUUUUUUCAUUUUUGAAAAAUGAGUGCAAAAAGUAAAAAAAAAAAACUCUUUUUCUUGAAUUUUUGAAUUGUUGAAAACAAAAGCCAUAAAGAACCUAAAAACUAUGAAACUCUUUUUUGAUUCACCUUUUCUCUUUUUUUUCCUUUUUUUUUUGUUUAAUUUUUUCAUGCCUACACACCUUUCUUUAAUUCUAGCACAUGCUUUCCCCAAAUCAGUCCAUCAAAUGAUCCUGUUACCCUAAAAAAUACAACAAUUAGCACGUAGGGAUGCUUUAGAGGAGAGUCUCUUACAAAGGACCAAGAGAGACCAGCUAAGGUCUCAAUAUGAUGCACGUAAGCAAGACCUAAAGGCUGACCUACGUUGGGGUUUACUAACAAGGUCGUUCGGGGGAGCAUAUGGUCGAUAGUGGCUGCUUUGCUUUCCACCUGCUCCAUACAUCCAACGGCUCCCCCUCCUAAAAUAAGGGUGACUCAACUAGAGUUCGUGCACACGACGUGCACUUCGAAACUUGUUGCAGAAAGAAUUGACAUGGGUUAUGCACAUGAUGCCAGAUAUAAAGCGGUAACACACAAGAGAAAAACUAUAAACACAUAGCACAAUGAUAAAAUAAACAACAAACGAUAACUCAAAUAAUGUUUAUACACCCGUAAUGUCAAACUAAGCCGAUACAACUCCCAAAAUAAGCCCGAAUUUUAAAAAAUCCCCAACAGAGUCGCCUGAGCUAUCACACCCCUUUUCAUCCAAAAAGAAUUAUAUUUUAAAGUUUGAAAGAGUUUUUAUUAUUGAAGUGACAAAAUGAAUAUUUAUUUCAAAAAGGAUUCUUUUCAAUUAAAUUCAGAGUCGCAACUUAGCAUAAAUCGGGUGUGCCAAGUCACCUUUGGAAAUUCUUUUUCAAAAUGGUUUUGACUCUAAAACUGAUCCGCGAACAGAGAUUUCGGCUAAGGAAUUCUGUUGACCGAGGGGAAGGUGUUAGACACCCCUCAAUCCCGUGGUUCGACCACGGUCGCUUGGUAGAGAGUAUCGGCUAAUUUUGACAUUACAAAUGUAUAAACCACACAAAACACAUAAAAUAAUCAAUCAAACCAACAAAACAAAACGAAUGAAAAAUAUAGUGUCUAGUCCAAUUAUACAGUCCCGAAUAAUGAAAAAUACGAAAAUGUAAACCUAUUAUAUUCUAAACUAUCCCUAAACUACUCCUGAAUUAAACUCCACCCGACGUUUCGGGCCUUGACCGUGCGCUGUCUUCAAGUACAUGAUACUUCGGGGCAUUCCCCGGUGAAUAAGUAUAAUUUCUUCGGGGAAUUCCCCGGCAAAUGAAUACAAUUUUAAUUUCAUGAGAUAAACUAGAAAAGCAUUCGACCUGUUCAACAUUCCACACAUUCAAUCAAACAACAAAAAACACUUAUUCCUAAAUUGAUGCCUACCCAAACCUAUGUUGCCUAUCCAUUUCCACAUUUCAUAAUUCUUUCACGUUCACACUAUAUUUAUGCUUAUUUCAGAUUAAAUCAAACAAUAAUAAACUCAAAUUAAUCUCAGUUAUAUUUUUCAACUCUACGAUUCCAUCCCAAAUCCUCUUCUAUCAAUCACAUCGUUAAAACUAAUCAAGUUCGUUCCUCCUACAACUGGAGUCACAUCAUCACGCACAUGAUCAUAACAUCAACAACAUCAAACAAUUACAAUAACCCAACACAUAAUUUUAAUCAUUCUAACAAAAUAAAAUAAAUAAGAAAGAAAGGGAGUAAAGAGAUGGACCUCGAGAGAUUUCGAUUGAUUUUAAUGAGAGAAAUAAGAGCUCAUCCAAGAACCUUAAAGAAUUCCUACAAAAUCUCGACUCUUGAAAUCAGUCGAGAAACAGUCCAAAAUGUGAUAACCCCAAAUUCGGUAUUGAAAAUUGAAAACUCAAAAACUGAUCGCGAUUAACAAGUCGAGACGAACGAGAUUCUAAUCUUUAAAUCAGUAGUGAAGACCGAUGAAACCACAACAAAAUAGCAACAGAAACAGACUGGCCCGUAUGUAAGGAUACCCAAAAAUCGACCAAAAAUAGAAACGAUUCCAGCAAAAGAUCUGCUGCCAGUUCACGUUUUCCGGAAAAUCCUUAGCUUUUUCGGCUGGUUAUGCCUUGAAAUCAAAGGAAACAGUGAGAUUUCAGGAUUUUGGGGGCGAACCCGAUCGAACACGAACUUAAAAAAAAUAAUUCCGGCAAAAUUUCGCCAAAAUUCUCUCAAAAAAAUGAUCAGAUCUCUGUCUCUCAAACUGUCUUCAUUCUCAAGUUUUCACUGGGUGCAGGUGGGUAUGAUUUAUGGUUGAGAAUUUAGAGAGCGAUUAGUGUGUGCUCAUCCGUGAAAAUUAAAUGGAAGUGAGUGUGUGUUGUGGUGUGAGACGAUCGAAGGAGUGGUGUUAGUGUAUAUUUUCUCGGAGAAGAAAAAAAAGGAGCAAAAAUGGAGGUAUUUUAUUCCUCUGUUUUUCUGUUUCUUUGAUAAAAAUGUGACCCCCCUUCUUGAAUCCCUUUCUGCAUGUAUAUAUUGUAAAGAAAAGAAAACCCCUAGUGGUCCCCUCAAAAAAUGGCCCUCCCCUGUUUCUUUUGUUAUUUUCGUAUUUAAUGGGCAUGGAUUUGUUAUGAUGUGGGAAUUUCAAUGGGUCCCACAUAUAUUCUUUCUUUGUGGACAAGAAAAAGGAGGGGGAAGGGUCACAUGGGUGGAGGGUGGAGUAGUGGGUGAGGUGUUGUCUUUUAAUUGGAGGGGUGGGGUAGUGAGGUGACUUAAUUUCAUAGGAGAGGGUUGUUAAUUAGUUAUCACACGAAUAUUUUUGUUUAGGUUGGUUAGGGAUUUUCCUAAGAGUUGUUAUUUUUUGUAUUAUUGUGGGAUAUAAUCACAUGGAUGAGGACACGUGGUAAGGUGAGCUAAAAGAGGAUAAAAUCAACGUUGGAAGGGACAAAAUUAGGUGUCUACACAAAGGUUGAGGCUAGGAUACGAGUAAAGGGUAACACUUGUAUUGGAAGGGUACAACUCGUGAGGGUCAAUUGUAUCCCUGUGAUGAGAUUUUUGUGCAACUUAAGUGAGGGUAUUCUGGAUAUUUUUCCACCUAUCCUAAUAAGGUUCCACGAUUUCCAACCUACUUGAGAGGUUAUUUACCCUAUUAUUCCAUUCAUUAACACUUAGAAACUCAUCUAAACACUCUAUAAUUCUAUCAAAAUUUUUUUGUCAAGGGAAGCUAGGGUUUCAACUAGAGGAUUGAUUUGGGGCUUAUCUUGGUGAUUUCUUUCCAUAAUCAUCUUGGUUUAAGACAUGUUCUCUUCCAUCAUUGAUUCUAUCUAAAAUCAUGAUUUUAUGAAUGUUCUCAUGAUUUUAUUGAUGGUAUGAUUUUGGUUUUCAAAUAUGAAUUGGGGAUUUUGAUAUUAAAUGGUUGGUUCUGGUUUUUCAUGGUUUUAAUUAUGCUUUUACAUGCAUUAAUGGUAGUUUUGGAUAAUUGAAUUGGAUGGGAAUGGUUUAAUGGUAAUUGGAAUCGGUUUGAGUUAUAUUAUGCCCCGAAUGUAUUUGACAAAAUACUUAUAAAGAUAUGUUCAUUGCCUUAACUAUUUUUAAUGGAACUCUUCUUUGUUUUAAAACUUGGUAAAGAAAUUAUGCGUGGUUCAAAGGCUUGGAAAAGUGAAUGGCUGAUGGUUAUGCUUGAAGGGUACAUGAAAUCCCCCAAGUGGUUUAACAUGGUAAAUGAAAGGGCACUUGAAAGUUCCCUUAUGACUAUACAUGGUUGGCUAUGGAUAAACUUGUAAGUAAGGAUUUGUAUGACGAUACCAAUAUUAAUGUCAUCAUUUAAUAAAUGAAUAAUGGUUUAGUUAUUUAAAAAUUGAUUUUAAUUGAACAAUAAUAGCGGGAUGUGUAACAAAGCCGUAGAAGGUAAAGAUCCCGGGAGGAUAAAAAAUGGAGACUCAUAUUUGCCGAUGUGAGGUUGGUUUUGGUGAUUGUGUGCAUGAUGUCAAACUAUAUUUUGGGGGAUGUACUAGUCAUUCCGGAUUUUCUUCCCUGGUCGUGCAGCUACACGCACUGGGCCUCUUUUAGUAGGGGGACCUAAGCUCAUAUAGUUCAUGGGUGGUUUAGGACGAUAAACCUACACAGUCCAGGUAAAGGUUUUAAAGGCAUGCUAAACCCGAUCCUUUUUUCCGACAUGGUUUAUAUAUAUAUAUAUAUAUAUAUAUAUGGUUGUGUGCAUGUGGAUGGUUUUACUUGGUUUUAUAAAUGACAUUGUUUUAUUCUUAUCCUGAGAUCAUACUAGCGUUCACCCGCUAACCCGUCUACUGACGACUGUAUACCCACGCUAUGCAGGAACUUGCCGUUCUUCUCAUCCUACAUAGUGAUUGACUCAGGUAUCAGUAUUUGGACUGAAGUGGUGAGCUUCCAUCCUUUUGGAUUUCAUGUUAUGAACACUUUUUGGACAUUUGGGUUUAUUUUUGGAUAUUAAUUUUAGCCAUGGUUAGGGGCAUGUCCCAACCAAUUUUUAUUACUCUUUUGGUUAGAGGCUUUGUGGUACUUUUAUGGGUUGGAAUGAACGGGAUCGAUAUUGGUAUCGACCUUGGCAUUGAAAUAAGCCAGUGAGCUGACAUCAUUGGACAAUAUUAUUAGUUGUUCCAUCGUAUUUUAUUUUGGGAUUAAUUAUAUUAUGUUGUGGAAUAUCUUUGGUUAUGGCCUGGUUUAUGGCCCUUGUUUUGAAAUGGUUUGGUAUAGUUGGAUUGUUGGACUCGGUUGGGUCGGUCAUGGUUGUGAUCUUAUCCAGAGUCUUGAUGUGAGGUAUCGCACUAUCUUGCUAUAUUCUCAAAAUUCAUCCAACUCAAGCCCGACGGCUGGAGGUUGGGUUGGGUAACGGGGGUGGUCUCUGAUCUCGAUCGGAUUUGGGAUGCCCAUUAUGACAAGGCCCUCGAUCGGGUCGCGUCAGGCAACUAAAUAUUUUAAGAUUGACAUGGAUGAUUUACCAAAUUUUUGGUAGGGUAACUCGUUAUUUAAAAUGGGUGUGGGUAGCCUAUUAAUGAAUAAACCACAUGAUGGCAGACAAAAAACCAUAGUUUUGGUGGUAGGAAUGCUUCAUGGGGAAGGGUUUUGGUUGUUUCGAUAAUAUGACGAUGACGACUUCAGCUAUGCCAACGUGAAAAAAAAGUGUAGGGAGGUGAAACUAAAUGUUCAGUGCCAUUUUAUUGAAGAUAAGAUUGAAGAGUCUUUGUAUUCACCUCCUCCAUUAGUAUAAAGAGAUUUAAUUUUUAUUUUGAAAAACAUACUCUAUUAAAGAAUGAAAAUUUUGGAACAAAGAGGCUUCACUUUUAUUUUUAAUUGUAUACAACCAAGUAUACUUGGUGUAUUGAUCAUCAAAAGUACAUUAAUAUAACUUUUUGUCUAUUGAUUAAACAGGCGAUGGUCUCCAUAAAUCGUUGAAGAUAAUCUAAAGAGGAACAUUACUAGAUAAAGUGAGUCGUUGAACUGGAAAACAAUGUGAUUUAUUAGAGGAACGAGCAUUACAAAGUUCAAGUUUUUCUUUAGUAGCAACAGGUAAAUAAAACUUCUUCAAAAUAAAAUUUAAAAUUGUCAAAUGAGGAUACCCAAGUCACAAUGCCAUAGCUGAAAAGUAACUUUUGUGGAGGAAAGAUUGAUGGAUAUUGGUGGUCCGAUUGGCUGAUGCGGCCAUUCAUAUAGUCCUUUGUUAUUCUGUCCUUGCACCAACAACGUCUGAGUAUGCAGGUCUUCACAGGAAAAGUAAAUGAAAAAAAAUUCAACAGAUGUUAGACUGUCUUGACAAAACUUGGCUAUUGAAAUAAGAUUCUUUUUAAUUGGUGGAGCACAUAGGGUGUUAUAAAGCCUAAAAGAAGAAUUAAAUGCUUGUAUCUGAGUUGAACCAGUAUGAGUAUAGAAAUGGUUUUACUAUCACCCAUAGAUAUUUCCUCAUUGCCUGUAUACUCUUCAAGAUUGUCAGGUUCAGGUGUGAUAUGAUGAGUCAUACCAGAAUUCAGAACCCAUGAUCUUUCUGCUGACUGCAAAUUAGAGGCAAAGUUGGCCUUAGCUUCAAAAUGAUUGUGCAAUUUGAAAUGGCAUACAUCUGCAGUAUGAUCAAAUUUUUUGGCACAAUUAGUAUCAAACAAAUUUUCUCGAGUUUUAUCUCCAAUUUUGCUGGUUGUUGGAGCUAGACCGUCAAGUAGUAGAUAGGUUUUAUUAUUGAUUGUUGAAAUGAUAGUUGUUCCUGUUAGACUGGUAUGACAUGUUUGUCUUCUAUGCUAUAAUAACUGUGAUAUUGAAGGAUGGAUUCUCAAGAUCUUGGUGGUUGAGGAAAAGCUCAUGAUAUGUGAGCUUGUGAAGCAAUUCUUCAAAACAUAAUGAAGAGUCUUUUGAUCUUAUAGCGGCAGAGUUUUCACGGUACUCGAUGCCCAGAUCAUUUUCUGUUACUGGUGAUCCAACACUUUUGAGAGCAUCAGAGAGAGAUCGAACCUUUGUAAGUAUUCUAUAACAUAUUUAAAGGCUUUCUUGAUAUUUUGCAAUUGGUUGUGCUAGAUAAAAAUGCGAAUGUGGCCCUUAUUUGUGUAAGUCGUGUGAAGAAGUUCUCAGGCGGUCUUAGUAGAUGGAGUUGUGACAACAGUUGGCACAUUGGUGGGAUAAACAGAUGCCAUUAUUGCUUGCUGGAUCAGCUGGUCCUGAGAGAAUCAGACCUGGUAUCUAGGAUUUGGCAUCAUAAGGUUAUCUUGGGUAACUGACAUGACCCGAACCAGGGUCUGGUUGUGUCAGGUAUCUCAAGUUCAACCAGGACUGGAGACCACCCCCAAUACCCAACCUUUGACCUUCUGACACCUCAUGUUGGAUGAACUCUUAACAUAUAACAAGAUAAGAGAAUAUCAAACUAAAAACAUUAUGAUAAGUUUAUGACCAAAACCAACCACCAACAACUAAUCAAAUAACCAAUAUCAAUACUGAUACCGAUAUAGACACCGAUACCACCCAUGUCUAUAAUAGUCCAACAAAACCUCUAAUCAAAACCAAAGAAUAUCUAGUCGGAUCACGCCCCCGACCAUAGACAAAACUAAAACAAAAAAAAAAUAGUAAAGACAUAAGGAAAUCCACAACAUGAAAUGGGGUCUUCCAAAGUAUAGAAGCUCACCACUUCAGUUUGACUAACGAGCUGAUCCUGGAUCCUAAUAAAUGUGCAGAAGAAAUAGAAGUAUGACCCGUUCUUGCAUUGCGUGGGAGUACAAUGUCUGAAGACGGUUAAUGAUGUGAACCUCAACAUGAAACUUCGGGAUAAAGAUAAAGUAAUGCCAUCAAUCCAGAACCAAAUCUACCAAGCACAUAACCAUAUGCAAAUACACACACACAUACAUAUAUAUACAUAAAAAAAAUUGAGAUAGGGAACAAGAUUUAGCAUGCAUUUUAAUACCUUAACCUGGGUUGUGUAGCUUUACCGUCCUAAGUCCACCCAUGGGCUAUAUGGGUAUAGUGUUACCCUAUGAACGGGCCCUAGUGCAUCUUAGCCGCAUGAAUCGAAGAUAUUAUAGAUGAUCGGGGAUUUUCUUGUACACUUCGCCCUCCAUGAUACAUAUAUACGAAUAUACACUUGGGGAUUUCCUUGUAUCCCUACAAAUACAUGGUCAUUAAGACCAACCCUCAUGUCGACAAACAUGAGUUUUUAGUGUCCGUCCUUUGGACUCACAUCUUCACGACUAACUAUCACAACUCCCAUUAUUGCCCAAUUAAAAUAUUUAACACAUAACCAAACCACCAGUUCUAGGAGUCAAUUAUUAAGGCAUUAUUAACAGUGGCGGAGCCAAGAAUUUAGCAAAGGGUGUGAAAAUUUUCUUCCCAGUUAUGUUAAGGGUGUGCAAAAUCAAAUAUUUACUCAUAAUAGCUAACAUUUAACCUUUGUAGACCACGUAAUUACUCGACGAAGGGUGUUCAUCUGACCAUCCUUCGUUUAAGGUGGCUCCGCCCAUGAUUAUUAAGUGGUAUCGUCAUCCCAACCAUAGCUUGGAAGAAAUUUCAUUAGCUAACACUUAGGGGAAUCCCAUGUAACCCAUAGACUCUAUUGUUAAAAUCACUUGGGGAGGUUCCCGUGUACCCCACAAGGUUUUCAAAACUAUCUUCAACAAAUUAACCAUUUAUGCUAUGCAUUAGUUUCAAGAAAUAAAUCAAACCAAGUAAUAAUGCAUAAACUAAAAUCAAGUAUGCAAGUGGUUUGAGGUUGUACCAAUUUCCAUACCAAACCAAUUAAUUUGGAGAUAUAUUUGUACCCCUAUUUCCAUCCACCAUUUUCAUGCACUUCAAUGCAUUUACCAACUAUCAAUUUAAGCACAAUAGUUUCAUAGAUAUCAUGAAAAAACAUUUUAAACAAUUUAUAUUAAAAAUUCUCAGCCCAUAGUUCAAAACCCAACAUCAAUAUCUUAUGAACAAUACUUUAAAUCACAUGCUUUAACAAAAUUGACAAUGAGGGAAGAGUAAUAUGCCUGAAAUAUCAAAAAAUUUGGAAAAGAAGGCACCCUUAGAACCCUGGAUGACCUCUUUCUGUGAAACCCUAGCCUUAACUUAAACAGAGUGCCCUCACUUAAAACCUAAAAAGUGUCGCCUUUGACAAUCAGUUAACCAUCGACUCGUUACCACACCUUAUGACUUAUCACCACGAGUCGUAACCAAGACAGUGACUUGGACCCCCAUACACUGUCCACCUUACGACUCAGGACUAGAACUUGUAUCAAGACUUUACAACUCGUAGGGUCUUAGUCGUAAGCAACACAGAACCCAAAUGGGUCCAAUACUGGACACCCUAUGAUUGGAUCCUACGACUUGUAACAUGUCCUUAUGGCUGUUUGUGAGCCACUCGUAUUCAGAGCAGAAUCAAUCCACAAACUUACUAUUUGGUUAUGACUCGUCAGGACACCCUACGACUCAUAGGUUUCAGUCGUAAUCAGGGCAAUGAGCUCAGAGCUUAAGGAAUUUCAAGGGCCAAAAUUCGAAGUGACUCAUUGGUAGUGCCGAUUUUGAUCCGUCAAGAUGUCCCAUGAAUUAAUGGUCAUUGAUUAGCAUCACAAGUUAUGCUUUCCAAGUCGAGCAGUUGAGGUUACCUUGUAAUUUGAUAGAUAAUUGAGACGCGGGAUUGAAUUGUACCACAUGAACAAUAGGUGAAACAGUAGAACUGUUAUUAGUAGUAGUAGCAUCACCAGAGUUAAUAAUAAUUGGAGGGGUUGUUUCUGGAGAUAUAGCCAUGGAUGGGGAGAGAAAAGGAUCUAAAACGUAAGAGGCUAGAGAUGCUGAUACCAUAUAAAAUCAGAUAGAGAGAAGUAGUCGAAAGAUGAUUUUUUUCCUUAAGAAUCCAAGAUUUAAAUACAAUAAAUAACAACCUACAACCAAACUUAAGGAAGCUAAUUAUUACAUAUACUCCUAAACAGUUGGAGUCUUCUACAGAUAUACAACAACAGUAAACUUCUACAAUAGGAGGAGUUUUCUACAGAUAUAAAAAAUAGUAACUAUAACAGUAAUUUAUUCUAAUAAUGAUAAUAUAAAAUACUUACGUUUAACAAUGGCAAAGGACAAAUUGGCGUAACGAAGCCCUUGAUAGCUUCCACGAGAGAAAAACACAAGCAAGAAAGUAAAGAGAAAACUAAUGCUUGAAGAACAAGUAAAGAGUGCAUUGUAUUACUUAACGUCUAAUUUCAAAUAAUUAAGUAAAGAGAAAUCCCUACUUCUAGGUUCAAUGAAUGACUUAUAUCCAAUGAAACAGGUUCCCUAGAGAGGACCCGUAUAGUACUAUAACUAAUAAUGUGACGCUGGAUGUCCUAUCUGUUGUCCACUGCGUUUUCACAUAUUUAAUAGUCCUGACACCUUUAUUCCAUGUUCUUUUCCUCCACAUCAUUCUAGCCUAUUAUUAGGUCAUAGUAUAUGAAAGAAGUGUGAAUGAAAAAAUGAAGAAUAAAAUGGUGGAAGGGAAUGAGACACUAAAAUGAAAAGUGUACUCUCAAAUUAGAAAGUUUACUCUUUCUCCCACAUUAGUGGAAGAAGAGAACUUGAAAGUGUUUAUAAUCAAGAACACUUAAUCCACAUGGCAAGUGAGGCAAGAAAUAAUAGAUGCCUCGCGCUGCCGUCGUCGCUCGCUCGACUCGGCUUUGGCUUCGGAUCGAUGAGAUCUAUCUUUUUGGACAAACUUUAUUUAAAUUCCGAAGAAUGCCAAGGAAAAAUGCAGUAAAUUUUUUUCUGCAGUUUUGGACCAUUUAUAUAUACAUGAAGUAACAGUUGUACUGUUUCAAGUGAACUGACGCAUUAUUUUCGAACUAGUGCUUCAGAAAUGAUACAUUGUUCUGAACUGAGGCAACAUAAGGUUGCAAUGGUUUGGAAUGAUGCUUCAGAAGGAUGUAAUCCUUCAAUGAAGUGACACACUGAUUCAUGAAAUGAGAUGACUGUUCAGGAAAAGAUGCAAUCUUUGAUGAACAGACAUGAACUUACAACAAAGGUGUAACCUUUGGAGUGAACCAUUGCCUCUUUUCAGAAGAGGCAUGUUGUGGCUAUAUAAACCUGGUUCCUUCCAUAGGUUUAGUACGGAAUUUUCAGAUUAAAAACUCUCUUCUUAUUUCAAAAAUACUCUGUGUGAUCAAUCAAAACGUUCUGUGCGUUCGAAGAUAUUCCAACCGUUUGAGGUACCACUACAGUUGGUCUAUUUAGCCAUUUUAUCCUGGGAGAAAAAUUUCACAAACUCAGGUACAGUGAGGGGAAUUAUUUCCUUAAGAAAACUCCGUGAAUUUGGAUGACUUGGCUAUUUUCUGUUUCAUCUUAAUUUUUGAAAGAAUAAAAUACACCAUACACCUCUUAGAAAGGUCAUUUUGAUCUUGUGUAGAGGGUAUUUGAUAUACUUCAUUGUGUUCUUGUUUAUACUUGAACUCUAGUUGAAGUUAUUGUUCUUCAUAUACUGAUUCUGUGUACCCGAAGUACAAACGAAAAUAACAAUCUUAAGGAAUAAAUACUAUUACAGAAUCUGUAUUACUUGUUUUUGGAGAUUAAAGUUUUAGCUUUCUACUUCGCCUGAACUUAACUACUGAUUUGAAGUCAUAAAAACUUCAUCACAAGUUAAAGAUCAUUCGGUUGACAAUUGAAAGUUAUAAAAACUUCAUUGUUAACUAGAAACAAGAAAAAAAAUUUAAAGUUGCUUAAUUUUUAUAAGUAGUAUUCUGAAAACACUAAGUAUUUUUUGGCUUGUGGUGACAGAAAAAAUGGCAACUGAAAGUGAAAUGAUGGAUGCGACAACGUCUGUGGGGGUAACUAAUAUUGCCACAUCAAGUCGCACAAAUGCUCUGCCAACAAUGGCACCGACAGAGAAGCCCAAAAAAUUUUCGGGCAUUGACUUCAAGCAGUGGCAGCAAAAGAUGUCCUUUUACCUCACCACUUUAUGUCUGCAACGGUUCACUAGCGAAGGCACUCCUGAGGUAUCCGAGGGAACCUCGGACAAAGACUGCUUCGUUAUUGUAGAAGCUUGGAAACAUUCGGACUUUCUUUGCAGUAAUUAUAUUCUGAGUGGUCUCCAAGACGACCUCUCCAAUGUUUAUAGUGGAACCAAGACAUCAAAGGAACUGUGGGGGGCACUUGAACGAAAAUAUAAGACGAAGGAUGCGGGAAUUAAGAAAUUCCUUGUUGCACGGUUCCUGGACUUCAAAAUGAUAGAUAGCAAAUCUUUUGUCUCUCAAGUACAGGAGUUGUAAGUCAUCAUACAUGAUCUCCUAGCAGAAGGUUUAAAUGUGAAUGAUGCUUUCCAAGUAGCAGCGAUAGUUGAAAAGCUACCACCUUUGUGGAAAACUUCAAAAACUACUUAAAGCAUAAACACAAGGAGAUGACUGUUGAAGAUCGAAUUGUCCGACUUCGUAUUGAAGAGGAUAAUAAAGCUGCCAAAAAAAGGUCAAAGGGGAAUUCUACAAUUAAUGGAGCACAUAUUGUAGAAGAUGACCAAAACAAUUCCAAGAAAAGGAAGAAAGCUGAACAAGGAAGCAAUCAACCCAAGAAAAAGUUCAAGGGAAAAUGCUUUAACUGUGGCAAGAUUGGCCACAAGUCCAUAGAUUGUCGUGCCCCAAAGAAAGGCAAGAAUAAGGAUCAAGCAAAUAUGAUUGAGUCCAACAAAGAAUGCGAUGAUCUGUGUGCUAUGUUCUCAGAAUGCAACUUGAUGGGGAAUCCUUGCGAAUGGUGGAUGGAUUCUGGUGCCACCCGCCAUGUAUGUGCCAACAAGGAGUUGUUUUCAUCAUUUGCUCCGGCUCAAGCAGAAGAAACGAUCUACAUGGCUAACUCCGCUACUGCUAAGGUGGAGGGAACAGGAAAAAUUUGCUUAAAGAUGACUUCCGACAAGGUCUUGACACUAAAUAAUGUGUUAUAUGUUCCAGAGUUAUGUAGGAACUUAAUUUCUGUUUCACUCCUAGAUAAGAACGGAUUUAAAUGUAUAACCGUUUCUGGAAAAAUUGUAAUUAGCAAAGGAGAAAUGUAUAUAGUAAAAGGCUAUCUGACCGAAGGCCUUUAUAAGAUGAAUGUAAUGACUGUUGAAAUAAAUAGAAGUUUGAAUUCUUCUUAUUUGCUUGAGUCUUAUGAUUUAUGGGAUAAACAUUUAGGCCAUGCUAAUUAUAAAAUGUUACAAAAACUGAUUAACUUAGAAGUUUUGUCAAACUUUGAGGGAAAUAAAUCAAAGUGUCAAACUUGUGUGGAAUUGAAGUAUGCAAAGCAUCCUUAUAAGUCCGUUGAAAAGAAUUCCAAUCCGUUAGACUUAAUACACACUGACAUUUGUGAUAUGAAGUCAACACCAUCACGUGGUAGGAAAAAAUACUUCAUAACUUUAUUGACGAUUGCACUAGAUAUUGUUAUGUCUACUUUCUAAAUAGUAAGGAUGAAGCAAUAUAUGUGUUUAGAAAAUAUAAAACUGAAGUUGAAAAUCAGUUAGACAAAAGAUCAAAAUGAUAAGAAGUGAUAGGGGCGAAGAAUAUGAAUCUCUCUUUGUGCAAAUAUGUAUAGAGAAUAGAAUAAUCCAUCAAACUACGACCCCAUAUUCACCUCAAUCUAAUGGAAUUGCGUAAAGAAAAAACCAAACUUUGAAGAAAAUGAUGAAUGCCUUACUUAUAAGUUUUGGUUUACCAUAAAACUUAUGGGGGGAGGCUACCCUUACGACCAAUCGCAUACUCAACAGAGUUCCCUACAGUAAGACACAAUCAAUUCCUUAUUAAAAAUGAAAAGAAAGGAAACCCAACUUGAAAUAUUUGAAAGUGUGGGGGUGUCUAGCGAAGGUUCAAUUCCUAUACCUAAAAGGGUUAAGAUAGGACCUAAAAUGGUAGACUGUGUGUUCAUAGGAUAUGCUAAAAGUAGUAAAGCAUGUCGAUUUUUGGUUCAUAAAUUUGAACAUCCAGAUAUUAAUGAAAAUAUGGUAAUUGAAUAGACAAUGCUGAAUUCUUUGAAAAUAUUUACCCGUAUAAAAUUAGACAUGAACAGUCUAGUAGAGGAUCUAAACGACCUCGAUAUGAACUAAGUGAGAAUGUACAUAAUGAAGAAAAUCCAAGACGUAGUACACGUCAAAGAACGUCAACUUCGUUUAGAUCGAAUUUUGUAAUAUUUCUCUUAGAAAAUGAGCCUCAAAUAUUUAAAGAAGUGAUGUCGUCUUCAGACUCAUCCUUUUGGAAAGAGGCAGUUAAUAGUGAGAUAGAUUCAAUCUUAAGCAACCAUACAUGAAAAUUGGUUGACCCCUCCCGAAAAUAAACCGUUAGGUUCUAAAUGGAUCUUCAAAAGAAAAAUGAAGGCGGAUGGUACUAUUGACAAAUACAAGGCAAGAAUUGUAGUAAAAGGCUUCAAACAGAAGGAAGGCCUUGAUUACUUUGAUAUAUACUCGCCAGUAAAAAGGAUAACCUCAAUUCGAAUGUUAAUUGCCUUGGCGGUGGUAUAUGAUUUUCAAAUCCAUCAAAUGGAUGUGAAGACCGCAUUCCUAAAUGGAGAUUUGGAGAAAGAAUUAUACAUGGAACAACCUGAGGGUUUUGUGGUUCCAGGAAAACAAAAUAAGGAGUGUAAACUUGUUAAGUCACUUUAUGGACUAAAACAAGCACCUAAGCAAUGGCAUGCAAAGUUUGACCAAACCAUGUUGGCAAACAGAUUCAAGAUAAAUAAAUGUGACAAAUGUGUAUAUAUUAAAGACACACCAAAUUACCAAGUCAUUGUUUGUUUAUAUGUUGAUGAUAUGUUGAUCAUCAGCAAAGAUAUUUGAUACAUAAAUGUAACCAAACAAAUGCUCGAGAGUAAGUUUGAUAUGAAAGACCUUGGAGUUGCAGAUGUGAUCUUAGGUAUAAAAAUCCAUUGAACUCCACAAGGGUUAACAUUGUCACAGUCUCAUUAUAUUGAAAAAGUACUUGACAAGUUCAAGGAUAUGGAAUUUGGUAUUGCCAAGACUCCAUUGGAUGUGAACUUUACACUUCGAAAGAAUAAAGGUGAAAGUGACUCACAAUUGGAGUACGUAAGAGUAUUGGGAUGUUUAAUGUAUAUAAUAAACUGUACACGACCCACCGGAUCGAACGAAGUAAAAUCCACAAGUGGAUAUGGAUUUACUAUCCCUGGAGGAGUAGUCUCUUAGAAAUCAUCCAAACAGACUUAUAUUGCUCGCUCUACAAUGGAAUCUGAAUUUAUCGCAUUGGAUAAAGUUGGUGAAGAAGCAGAAUGGCUCCGAAAUUUCUUAGAAGAUAUUUCAUAUUGGCCCAAGCCAGUGGCACCAGUAUGUAUACACUGUGAUAGCCAAGCAGCAAUAGGUAGGGUAGGGAGCAUGAUGUACAACGGUAAAUCUCGUCACAUACGACGGAGACAUAAUACCGUUAGGGAACUUCUCUCUAGUGGAAUUAUCACUAUUGAUUAUGUAGAGUCAAAGGAUAAUGUGUCGGAUCCACUUACAAAAGGUCUAUCUAGAGAAGGAGUGGGAAGAACAUCCAAGGGAAUGGGUUUAAGGCCUAGGACGAGUCAGCAUGGCGGUAACUCUACCUAGCAGAAUGGAGAUUCCAAGAUCUAGGUUCAAGGAGAUGAAACAAAGUUGUGUCUGACAGGUUCAACAUUGUCAAUUACCCAACCCAUUCUCAUGAUGUAGACAAUGUAUAGUAAACUAGGAUAAGACUUAAGGUGAAAAGUCUUUUAAUGAUUAUCUAAAUUUGACAGAUUUGACCAAAUAGUUUAAUCUACAGAAUUGAACGUUUAGAAAUCACCUAUGCAAGAGUUAAGUGGAAGCCGCUUCAAAGAGAAUGUUAGUAAAGGCCUAUUUUCUAAACUCUCAUGAAACCGGGACGUGUUCAUGACUGAAAAGAACAAAACCAUGAGAACCAUAAACGUUAAAAGGUUGGUUGUGUGACAUGUAUUGUCUAGGUGUACAUUCAAUCUCGACGGUUCAAAGAUAUCAAAUCUGCCGAUUGAACGAGUGCAUCCGAUGCAUGUUCACUACAGAAAUUUCAAAAGGAAACCCACUUAUCCAGAUGCAAUCAGUAUUUGCUUGAUGAUCACAUACUUGUCCGUAAAAAUUUUAUGAAAAAUAUUCAUUCCCCAUUCAUGUGGGCGAUUGUUGGGUUCAUAGUAUAUGAAAGAAGUGUGAAUGAAAAAAUGGAGAAUAAAAUGGUGGAGGGGAAGGAGACACUAAAAUGGAAAGUGUACUCUCAAAUUAGAAAGUUUACUCUUUCUCUCACAUUGGUGGAAAAAGAGAACUUGAAAGUUUUUAUAAUCAAGAACACUUACUCCACAUGGCAAGUGAGGCAAGAAAUAAUAGAUGCCUCGCGCCAUCGUCGUCGUCGCUCGCUCAGCUUCGGAUUCGAAUUUGGAUUUGGAUUUGGAUUUCCCAAAAUGAUUGAUCGAUGAGAUCUAUCUUUUUGGACAAACUUUAUUUGAAUUUCGAAGAAUGCCAAGAAAAAAUGCAGUAAAAAAUUUUGUGCAGUUUUGGACCAUUUAUAUAUACAUGCAGUAACAAUUGCACUGUUUCAAGUGAACUGAUGCAUUGUUUUCGAACUAGUGCUUCAGAAAUGAUACAUUGUUCUGAACUGAGGCAACAGAAGGUUAAAAUGGUUUGAAAUGAUGCUUCAGAAGGAUGUAAUCCUUCAAUGAAGUGACAUACUGAUUCAUGAAAUGAGAUGACUGUUCAGGAAAAGAUGCAAUCUUUGAUGAACAGACAUGAACUUACAGCAAAGGUGUAACCUUUGGAGUGAACCAUUGCCUCUUUUCAGAAGAGGCAUGUUGUGGCUAUAUAAACCUGGUUUCUUCCAUAGGUUUAGUACGAAAUUUUCAGAUUAAAAACUCUCUUCUUGUCACAAAAAUACUCUAUGUGAUCAAUCAAAACGUUCUGUGUGUUCAAAGAUAUUCCAACCGUUUGAGGUACCGCUACAGUUGGUCUGUUUAGCCAUUUUAUCCUGGGAGGAAAAAUUUCACAACCUCGGGUACAGUGAGGGGAAUUAUUUCCUUAAGGAAACUCCGUGAAUUCGGACGAUUUGACUAUUUUCUGUUUCAUCUUAAUUUCUAAAAGAAUAAAAUACACCUCUUAGAAAGGUCAUUUUGAUCUUGUGUAGAGGGUAUUUGAUAUACUUCAUUGUGUUCUUCUUUAUACUUAAACUCUAGUUGAAGUUAUUGUUCUGCAUAUACUGAUUUUGUAUACCCGAAGUACAAAUGAAAAUAACACCUUUCAUAUGGUGUCUCUCCCUAGAUGACCUACACUCCUAUCGUGGUGAAAUCCACAAUCACAUGCCUGCAGAAUCUAAGGGAGAAUAAAUCUAAACGAGUUCAUAUUCGGACUGGCCGAGGGCACAUCUACGUGGGCGUCAUGCAUCGCGUUGCCCCCCUCGCAUCGCGCCUCAUCAUGAGGUGUGGUGUCGUUGCGGGGCGAAUAGGGUGGAAGUUUCUUAAUUAGAGAAGAACAUAUAUCUAUAUAUAGUUAGAAAAUUCCUCUUAUUUUAUAUCAUUGUAGUACAAAAUUAACUCAUUCUCUUAAUUGUUGUUGUGGUAGUCAUUGAAUACAUGAUGGUAACAACUAACAAAAUGUAUGUCUAAAGUCAAAUGCAGAAUUGCAUAAUUAAUAAUCACCAACCAUAACAGUUUGCCACGUAAAUUAAUAGUAAACACACAAAUAUCCGAUUUUGGAAUCACCAUUUAAAUUAUAUUAUUUACAAAAUUUACUAAAUUUGGAAGUUAUAUGUCUGAAGUUAAGACAUGGAUCAAAUUCAAUCGCUUUUGCUUACACUUAAUUACAGAAGAAAUGCUUUGUUUUCACCCUGAACUAUACAUGAAAUUGUUGAGGUACACCCGAACUUUUGGAGGUCCUAUUAUCCCCUGGACUAAUUAAAAUCAUAUUUUUGACAAUCUUAGUGCCUACAUGGCACAUCAACACACUGUAUGUGCUAUGUAGGCACUAAGAUUGCCAAAAAUUCGAUUUUAAUUAAUCCAAGGGAUAAUAGGACCCACCAAAAGUUCGAAUGUGCCUCACCAAUUUCAUAUAUAGUUCAGGGUGGAAACAAAACAUAUUUUCCUUAAUUAUAUGUAGUUGAAUUUAGUUAUCUUUUUCCCGAAGUUCAUGCACAUAUUAUGAUGAUUGAAGUUCAGAUAUUUGAACCUAAGCUUUAGUCAUAUAGGGUGUAUUUGUCUUUUUUUUUAAGAUUAAGACGUGUGAAUCUGAAUGAAUAUCUGAAUGAUUCAGAUGUUGUUUUUAGAUCUGACUACUGAAUGAUUAAGACCGUUUGUUUUUUAACAUCCUAAUGUACGUAAUAUAUUUAUUCGUAAUAAAUAUGUAAUUCAAAUAUUAAAAGUAAUAAAAUAUUAUAUUAUAUGAAACAAAAAUUAGAUAAAACUUAAACAUCAAAUUAUUAAUUGAGUGAUAAUUAAAAUAUUUAAAGAUAAUUAAAAUAUUUAAAAAGAGUUUUGAGCGAAUAAAUUACGUUUUAAAAAGAGUCUGAAUAUUAUUUGAGUGAUAAUUAAAAUAUUUCAAGAUAAUUAAAAUAUUUAAAGAGAGUUUUGAGGUAAUAAAUUAUGUUUUAAAAAGUGUUCAGACUCUUUUUCAUAUUUGACUGAUUCAGAGGCUUUCAGAUACAUUAAGAGGCAGUUUAUCAACAAAAAAAUAAAUGAACUUGAUGGACUGAAGUCUGAACCAUUCAGAUUCAGAUCUCCAUUAAGUACAAAUCAAAUGAGGUCAUAAAAUAUAAGACACCCCAGGUUUGAACUACUUAACAACUAUUUUAACAUAAUAAUAAUAUACAUAUUUAUUCCAAUAAAGUUAUUUUAUUUGUGUAUAUUGUCACUAAAAAUUGCCCAAGUAGCUAGAUGGUGACAUGAAGAAUUAUUAUAUAGUUUUAAAAGGAAAGCAAAGAGGUAGGUGUAGUAGUAGUACUUUGUGAUCUCCCACAUUUUUGAGUUUUCGCAUUCAUUAUUUAUGACCUUCUUCAAUCAUAGAAAACGUGUCAUAAGUAACCCUUUAAUUUAAUAAUUUAUUUAGAUAUGAAUAUAUACCUUUUUUUUUUUAUAAAAAAAAUAUAGUAUUUAGUUAUACAUUGUGAAGUGUAUAAUUAUUAUAUAGAGACUAUUUUGCUGAAUUGUUUAAUUCGAACCAAGAAAAUUUGAGUAUAUUUUAGAGUUACACACAUCUAUGAACAAUAGAAACUUUAAUGAGUAAUGUGAUAGAAUUGUGCUGAUAUAAAUAAAGAAUGUUAUAAUAAAUAUAAAAAUAAAGUUUGUGGUCCUAAUAAUACUACAUAUUUUUUUCAUAUUUUUAUUGGACCGACAUUGGUGACCUGAAGAACUAGUGGAAAGGAAAGAAAAGAAGAAAAUGAUAAAAAUGACCCCUUAUAUUUUUAGAUUGGCUUUAAGCAAUCUCUAAAAGGCGCAUUUGGACAUGAUUUUUUUUAAAUUUUUUUUAAAAUAUAAUAGAUUUUCAAGUGAUUUUUUUUUUUUUUCUAUACUUACAAACCUUCAAUUUCUUUUCAAGUUAAAUGCAUAUUUAAGGAUUUUUUUUUUUUGAUAUAUUACAUUUUUCAUAGAUAAAUACCUACAAAAUAUUUUUUUGAACAGUUUAAGUUUAUCAUAAGCGAGCACAACUAAUUUCACUAAAUAUUAAAUAAUAUAUGUUAAAUGGAAGACUACCUUAAAUAUCAGAAAAGCCCAUCAAAUUCUAGAAGUUACAACAUAAAAAUUGCACUAGAAAAAAAAAUAAACAUAAGAAAAUAAAAAGUUGCAAAUUACAUCAAAUGUGAGUUAUCAUUAAAUUCUUUUUUUCCUUCAUACUUUUAAUACGACUAAUUUAAUUAUACGUGUGUCACACGUGUAAUAUUUAAUUAUUUAAAUUAAAUAAUUUUGUCUAUUGCAGAGAUUUUAAUGAAGUACAGAAAAUUUAAAUCACUUUUCAAAAUCCUUCACACUUUAAUAUGAUAAUAUAAAUAUAAAUAUAUAUUUUAGUGUAAGCACAUAUAUAUUUUAUUGCGUUAGCCUAUGAAUUUCUUGGGAUAAAUGCAUCUGAAUAAUUUUUUUGCGAAAAACUCAUGAUUGCGCCCAUGACGAUCUAUUAAAUGAUAAGGGCUGCUUCAAAAAGACAGACGUAGCCUGAUUCAGGGUAAACAAGCGAAAAAGCAGGAAUUGCGGGGAUUAGUUCAGUUUUUUUUCGUUUGUGUUAGUCUACGAAUUUCUUGGGAUAGAUUAGUCGGAUUGAUAUUUUGCUGAGAACUUAUGGUUGUGUCUGUGAUGACCUAUUAAAUGAAAAAGGUUGCUUUGGAGAUGCGGACUUAGCUUGUUUUAGGACAAACGAGCAAAAAAGAAGAAUGUCCGUUAUAUCAAUUUUUCGUGUGUUAGCCUAUGAAUUUCUAGGAAUAGGUGGAUCGAAAUAUUUUUUUAUCAAAAACUCAUGGCUACGCUUUUCAAGACCUAUUAAAUGAUAAGUAUUGCUCGGAGAGGCGUACCUAACCUGUUUAAGGCAAACAAGCGAAAAACAAGUAUUGCAUAUUAUUUUAACUUUUUAGUGUGUAUUAGCAUAUGAAUUUUUGGAUAUAGAUUCGUCGGAUUUUUUUUUUUUUUUUCGAAUACUCAUAUCUACACUCGUGACGAUCUAUUAAAUGAUAAGGGUUGUUUCGGAGAGGUAAAUGUAGCCUGUUUUAGGACAAACGAGCGAAAAAGGAAGAAUUGCAUAUUAUUUCAACUUUUUCGUGUGUGUUAGCCUAUGCAUUUCUGGGGAUAAGUGCGUUAGAAUCAUUUGGUCUGGUUUUAAGUUUUAUAAAUAGAUAUUUAUUUGAUUUGAUUUUACUCUAAAAAAUUGAUAAAAUAAUUAAAUAGAACCGAUAAAAAAAAUUUAUAUAUAUAUAUAUAUAUAUAAAUAUUUUGUUACAUUUUGAAUUUUAAUCAUGAACUUAACUUAAUUAGCCGUAGCACUUCCAAUCAUACGUCUCCAUCAAAUGAUGGUACCUCGUGAGAUUCUGAAUUUUCGCACUUUAAAUGACAAAUAUAGUUCUGAAACUAAUAUCAACUAACCAAAUCAAGAAGAAUCAAAUCAACGGUUAUUUUUUUGUUUGAUUUGAUUUGAUUUUAGAAAUUAAAAAAUAAAUCAUUUAAAUUGAUCUGAUUUUAAGUUUAAUCUACAACCUAUUCAAAUCAACUGAUGAACAUCCCUAUCAGUGAGUAUGUUAUCAGACCAACAUUUCCUGUAAAAGCAUUUAAUAAAAUGAAAUUUCACUUUCUUUUUAUGACAUUUAAUUUAAUAACAUGAAAUUUCACUUUCUUUUUGUGACAUUUAUUAGAUGCAACUUCCAUAACAACAUGCAUAAAAUUGGACCAUUUAGAUAUAAAUGAAAGGUAUCAAUAAAAUCUCUUUGUCCUUUUUUGCUACUUUCAUUAUUUCAUAUUAGUUGAUUAUUUUUAAUUUUAUACCUUUUUUAAAAAAUUAUAAUGAGAAGAAUAAAUUUACUAAUUUACACUUUUAAAGAAUAUUAAUUAUAGGGGUAAAUCGAAAUUUUUUUGAUUAAUUUUAUUUUAAUUUAAUAAGUGAACAAGUAAUUUCAGACAUAUAUUUUAGCAGGUGAUCAACUAAACGGAAGGACUAUUGAUUCCCCUUUAAUAAUUAUAUGUAAUUUAAUUUUAUUGUUUACUUGUUCAAUAUAAUAAAUAAAUGUUCAACUAUAUUUAUCCAAUUUAGAAAAUUUAUUGACAAUCUAUCAUCUUGUGUUCAUUUUACCAUUGUUAUUAAAUUUUGUUCAUUACCAAUAUAUUUUUUAAACCAUUAAAUAUAUUAUAGUCAAAGGAUGAUAUAGAAAAAUUAACCCGAAACAAAGGCGCUACCAAACUGCGUUACAUCCCUUUCAGUUGGUCUACAACUCUCCCUGUAGGUCGAGCUUCCUUUUCAGUCGCCAUCUACAUUGUUAUUUCUGUCUUAAAUAUUUAAUUUAUCUUGCCAUUUUUUCUUUUUUGAUCUUUAUUUAUUCAUAUAUUCAUCAUCAUCCUGCUGCUCCUACCAACAGUUACUUACAACAGAGGCGGAGUCAGGAUUUCAAGUAAGGGGUUCAAUAUUUAAAGAAAACUAAGUCGAAGGGGGUUCAACACCUACUAUAAUCACAUAAAAAAUAAUUUUAAUCAUGUAUAAUAAUAUAUUUUUUCGUCGAAGGGAGUUUGGACGAACCCCCUAUAGAGGGCUGGCUCCGCCUCUGCUUACAACUAAGAAAAAAACAAAAAUUCUUAAUAAUAUAUCUUUUGAAUAAGCGCGGCUUUCCCGAUAGAAAGAUUUGCAUGCAAUAAAAAUUUGUUUGGAACGUUGAGUAUUUUUGAUAGUUUUAGAACUUAAAAUUAUAAAAACAUGUUCUAUACCUUUUUAAAUGAAAUUAUAUUUUAAAAAAUUAUGAUCAAACAUAUUUUAAAUUUCAAUUAAAAUUUCAUCCAGAUCAAAUCUUUUAAAUAGAUAUAAUCAAAUAAUAACUUAAUAAAAAAUGAAGAAAUCUCAUCUACCUCGUCUAAAUACACCCACUCUAAAUAGAUAUUCUCCUUUCCAUUUGUUAUGCAAAAUUGAAUUUAUUAAUUUCAAUUCGAAACAUAUAUAUAUAUAUAUAUAUAUAUAUAUUUUGUUAUUUUCUUAGUAAGGUUUUGUAAUAUUUUUUAAUUAUUAGCAUUUAUAUAAUUGUUAUUUUCGUUAGUAACUUAUUAUAAUAGUUACAUAAAGAAUAAAAUAUUUUUUUUCUUUUGAACCCAUUUGGAAGCGAUAGAAGAUUUACAAAAUAAAAAAAAAAGUAUAUGAUGCAGAUUUAUAAAAGAUAUAUUCUCCGUUAAAAUUUUAGCUCACCAAUGCUCUUGCCGUCCAAGUCUUGGGCGAUAUAUACUCCUGUUGUCAAGUUUUGGGUCAUAUAUACCCCUGUUAUCAAGUUUUAGGUUAUAUAUACCCCUGUUGCCGUUAAUUGCUUUGCUAAAAAUUUUCAACUCCUUUUUCCUUCUUUUGUUUAAGAAAUCAUAUUUCCACAUCAGUUUUUAAUUGUCAUAUCGCAUAUAAUUAAAUUCACCCUUCUUCUACACAUUAACCAUCCGUCAAUGCUCUCAUCUAACUCAUAAUUUAUUAGAAUUUUCUCUAAUUUGCCGAAAUUUCUUUUUCGUGUUUUUUGAUGUUUGCAUAAACCCCAAGAAUAAUCAAGUACAAAAUGAAAAAACUCAAGAACACCCCAUAAAAUGAAUAAUUGCGAUAAAAAUCAAGAAUUAAAGUACUUACCAACUGUAAAUUAUUUUAGUAUCAUAUAAAUCGACUUCAUCUUCACACCACCGUUAAUUCCAACAUCAAGAAUCAGAAGAAUAGGGAAAACCCAAGUGAGAAAUUGAGAUGUAAAGUGUAAAAGAGGCAGCCCAUAUAGAGACAACAAAACAAGUUGUCAAUUAAGAGGAUAUCUUUUGCACGUAAAUACGUACGUAUGUACGCAUGUAUGUAUGUAUGUAUGUAUGAGAGAAACGGUUAUACAAGAAUAUGAAAAUACAACAAAAGAAUUUCGACAAGUUAGAGAAAAUCCAAAAAAAUUGUGAGGUAUAUGAAAGCAUUUGACGGACGUUUAAUGUAUAGAAGAAGUGAAUUAAUUAUAUGUAAUGUUGCAAUAAAAAAUGAUGUGGCAAAUAUAAUUUUUUAAGGAAAAAAAAAAGAAAAAAUGGGUUGAAAAAUUCCAACAAACUAAUUAACGGCGACAAGAGUAUAUAUGGCCAAAAACUUGACAACAGUAGUAUAUAUGAUCCAAAACUUAACAACAGGGAUAUCUAUGGACCAAAACUUGGACGGCAAAGGCAUUAAUGAGCUAAACUUUUAACGGAAGGUAUAUCUAAAUAUUUUUGAAAAGUUUAGGAGCAUAUUUGACCCCUUUUCCUAGAAAAAAUUUCAUGUAAUUUUAAGGUAAAACUUCAUUUUCUAUAUUGCUCUUUGUUGAUGCAUCUACUUUUUCCCAUUUGAUGAACAAUGGCAAUAGCAAUAAGCGACAUGCUUGGCAAGCUAGACCACAUAUCAAGCCCAUCCAUAAACCCUACAUCAUAUUUAAUAAAAAAAAAUAUCAAGAUUUUAAACAUGAUAAUCUUAUAAUGAAUCGUUACAGAAAAGUGUCUGAUGCAAAAGAUAUUAUCACAGAAAAAAAAUUAAGGAACAUAAUAGUUAAUUGGUUUCACUCUCCUUACCCUAACAUGUGCUAACUAAGGUGUACGUUAAGCAUAGUCGCGAAUAAAUAUACUAUAAUCUUAUGAGGAAUCGUUACAAAAAAAUAUCUAAUGCAGAAGACAUUAUCAUGAUCACAAAAAAAAGCAAGAAAUAUUAUAGUAAAUCGGUUUCACUCUCCUUACCCUAACUUGUCCUAACUAAGGUGUACUUUAUAAGCAUAGUCGCGAGUAAAUAUAUUAUAAUCUUAUGAUGAAUCGUUACAAAAAAAUAUCUGAUGCAAAAUACAUUAUCACAAGAAAAAAGAACAAGAAAUUAAACAUUAUGGUAAAUUGAUUUCACUCUCCUUACCCUAACUUGUCCUAAUUAUUAAGGUGUACGUUAAGCACAGUCACAAAUAAAUAUAUUAUUAUAAUCUUAUGAUGAAUCGUUACAAGAAAAUAUCUGAUUCAGAAGGCAUUAUCACGGAGAAAAAAAACCAAGAAAAGUCAUAGCAAAUUGAUUUCACUCUCCUUACCCUAACUUGUGCUAACUAAUGUAUACGUUAAGUAUAGUCACGAAUAAAUAUAUUAUAAUCUUAUGAUGAAUAGUUUCAGAAAAAUAUCUGAUACAGAAUACAUUAUCACAAAAAAAAAAAGCAAGAAACAUUAUAGUAAAUUGGUUUCACUCUCCUUACCCUAACUUGUCCUAAUUAAGGUGUACGUUAAGCAUAGUCGUGAAUAGAUAUAUUAUAAUCUCAUGAUGAUUCAUUACAAAAAAAAAUAUCUGAUGCAAAUGACAUUAUCACAAGAAAAAAAACAAGAAAUUAAACAUUAUGGUAAAUUGAUUUCACUCUCCUUACCCUAACUUGUCCUAACUAAGGUGGACGUUAAGCAUAGUCGUGAAUAAAUAUAUUAUAAUCUUAUGAUGAAUCGUUACUGAAAAAUAUCUGAUGCAGAAGACAUUAUCACAAAAAAAAUCAAGAAACAUUAUAUAUAGUAAAUUGGUUUCACUCUCCUUACCCUAACUUGUGCUAACUAAGGUGUAAGUUAAGCAUAGUCGCAAAUAAAUAUAUUAUAAUCUCAUGAUGAAUCGUUACAAAAUAAUAUCUUAUGCAAAAGAUAUUAUCACAAGAAAAAAAUCAAGAAACAUUAUGGUAAAUUGAUUUCACUCUCCUUACCCUAACAUGUCCUAACUAAGGUGUACCUUAAGCAUAGUUGCGAAUAAAUAUAUUAUAAUCUCAUGAUGAAUCGUUACAGAAAAAUAUCUGAUGCAAAAGACAUUAUCAUCGGAAAAAAAAAAAGCAAGAAAUUAAACAUUAUAGUAAAUUGAUUUCACUCUCCUUACCCUAACUUGUGUUAAUUAAAGCGUACGUUGUUCAGCGUAGUUGCAAAUAAAUAUAUUAAAAAUUCAAAAGUGACAUUAAUUCAACAUAAAGUUUGUUGAAUAAACGCUGAUGAAGGGUUAACGAGUUCAACUGAAUUCAGUAUCUAACUUUAUGAGUCGUACCAUCAUUAUAUAAGUUAAAAUCCACAAUAAAUUCAAUAGAUACUAGCUUUUUAUCUCAGAACUUUAAAAUUAAUAACAAUGAGUUAGGUACUAAAUAAAUCUUUAAAAUAAAAUUUAUUAAAUUUAAAUUCUGGACCGUCUCAAAACACAUAAAUUACCUGAGCAUGUAAGUUGAACUUGAAAGCAAGGAGGGCAGCUAUUGGCAUGCCAAUGAAAUAGAAUGUUGCCAAGUUGAUACACAUAGCCAAAUGUUGCCAUCCACAUCCCUAGCCACCCCUAAAUUCAAUUCAUUAACACAAAAAAUUAAUACUUUCUUUAAUAUUUAUGGAAUAAAGCACGUAGUAACUUUGAACUACGAUCAAAGUUGCUACGAUAAACUCCAACUUCACGGGAUUCUAUUAUCCCCUAAACUAAAUUCUAGCGUAUUUUUGUCAACCUUUUUAGCUGAUGUGACAUCAUUGACGUGGAUUCCAUUUUAUGUAAUAAAGGUGACACGUUAGCACAAAAGGGUGAUAAAAAAAAUGCUAAAAUUGAGUUCAAGGGAGUAAUAAUAGGACCCCUGUAAAGUUGGAGUGGAUUGUAACAACUUUGACCAUAGUACGGGAGGUACUGAAUGCUUAUCUCAUAUUUUCUGCAAUAAUGUUUAACUAGACACGAAAUUUAAGAAUUUGACCUGAUUAAAUUCCUUGAAAGAAAUCGAAUAAAAAGGAUAUUAAGAGAAGAGGUGUCACGGUGGCAAAUUUGUUUAUUAUUUCAUUGCUAUCACUAAAGAGGCCAGCCCAAACAUUGCGACCAAAAUAUAGAGCCAAAUCAACAAUAAGAGCAAGAAGAACACAUAGCUUGAGUGUAACAACCAUAGCAUGCUUAGCUUUGUUAGGAUUUCCAGCUCCUAAUUCAUUUGCCACCCUAGUGCUGCACCAAUAAUUUGCAAUACACAUUUGAUAUUAGUAACAAAUUGAGGGAUAUUAACUUUAAAAAAAAAUGGUUUAUGUAAUAUAUUGAUAGCUUUCAGAUUGUUUGACAGGUAAUAGUUAAGCUGAGGGUCUAUCGAAAACUGUCCAUCUACCUUUGUAAUAUAGAGGCCAUACAUUGAUAGCUUUCAGACUGUUAACUUUAAGAUUGUUUGACAGGUAUUAAGCUGAUAGUCUAUCGAAAGCUAUCCAUCUACCUUUAUAAGAUAGAGGUCAUAUAUUGAUAGCUUUCAGCUUAUUUGGCAGGUACCAAUUAAGGUGAGGGUCUAUCGAAAACUGUCCAUCUACCUUUUACAAGAUAGAGGUCAUAUAUUGAUAUCUUUCAGACUGUUUGGCAGGUAACAGUUAAGCCAAGGGUCUACCGAAAACUGUCAAUCUAACUUUACAAGAUAGAGGUCAUAUAUUGAUAGCUUUUAGACUGUUUGGCAGGUACCAGUUAAGAUGAGGGUCUAUUGAAAACUGUCCAUCUACCUUUACAAGAUAGAGGUAAUAUGUUGAUAGCUUUCAGACUGUUUGGCAGGUACCAGUUAAGCUGAGGGUCUAUCGAAAACUAUCAUUCUACCUUUACAAGAUAGAGGUCAUAUAUUGAUAGAUUUCAAACUGUUUGGCAAGUACCGAUUAAGCUGAGGGUCCAUCGAAAACUACCCAUCUACCUGUACAAGAUAGAAGUCAUAUAUUGAUAGCUUUCAAACUGUUUGGAAGGUACCAGUUAAGCCGAGGGUCUAGCGAAAACUAUCCAUCUACCUUUACAAGAUAAAGGUCAUAUAUUGAUAGCUUUGAAACUGUUUGACAGGUACCAGUUACGUUGAGUGCCUAUCGAAAACUAUCUAUCUACCUUUACAAGAUAGAGGUAAUAUAUUGAUAGCUUUCAGACUAUUUGGCAGGUACCAGUUAAGCUGAGGGUCUAUCGAAAGCUAUUCAUCUACCUUUACAAGAUAGAGGUCAUACAUUGAUAGCUUCAACCUGUUUGGCAGGUACCGAUUAAGUUGAGGGUCUGUAGAAAACUAUCCAUCUACCUUUACAAGAUAGAGGUCAUAUAUUGAUAGCUUUCAGACUGUUUGGCAGGUAGCAGUUAAGCUGCAGGUCUAUCAAAAACUAUCAUUUUACCUUUACAAGAUAGAGGUAAUAUAUUGAUAGCUUUUAGACUGUUUGGCAGGUACCAGUUAAUUCGAGGGUCUAUCGAAAACUAUCAAUCUAUCUUUACAAGAUAGAGGUCAUAUGUUGAUAGCUUUCAGACUGUUUGGCAGGUACCAGUUAAGCUGAUGGUCUAUCGAAAACUGUCCAUCUACCUUUACAAUAUAGAGGAUAAAGGUUAUUUAUUGAUAGCUUUCAGACUGUUUGACAGGUACCAGUUAAGCUGAGGGUCUAUCGAAAGCUAUCCAUCUACCUUUAUAAGAUAGAGGUAAAAUAUUAAUAGCUUUCAGACUGUUUGACAGGUAACAGUUAAGCCAAGGGUCUACUGAAACCUAUCGAUCUAACUUUACAAGAUAAAGGUCAUACAUUGAUAGCUUUCAGACUGUUUGACAGGUACCCUUUAAGCUGAGGGUCUACCGAAAACUGUCCAUCUACCUUUACAACAUAGAGGUCAUAUAUUGAUAGCUUUCAGACUUUUUGGAAGGUACCACUUAGUUCGAGGGUCUAUCGAAAAUUGUCCAUCUACCAUUACAAGAUAGAGGUCAUAAGUUGAUAGCUUUCAUACUGUUUGACAGGUACCAAUUAAGCUGAGGGUCUAUCAAAAACUGUCCAUCUAUCAUUACAAGAUAAAAGUCAUAUAGCUUUCAGACUGUUUGGCAGGUACCACUUAAUUCGAGGGUCUAUCGACAACUGUCCAUGUACCAUUACAAGAUAGAGGUCAUAAGUUGAUAGCGUUCAGACUAUUUGACAGGUACCAGUUAAGCUGAGGGUCUAUCGAAAACUGUCCAUCUAUCAUUACAAGAUAAAAGUCAUAUAGCUUUCAGACUGUUUGGCAGGUAUCAGUUAUGCUGAGGGUCUAUCAAAAUCUAUCCAUCUACCUUUACAAGAUAGAGGAUAGAGGUCAUAUAUUGAUAGCUUUCAGACUGUUUGGCAGGUACGAGUUAAGCUGAGGAAAGGUAGUGAUGGAAAUUAAACUAUGUAGUAAGGUAUAAUCAAAUUUUCUUUUUGUAUACCAAAUAAAUUUUAGAAUCCUUUUGGAAAUAAACAAAAUUUUAGGGAUCAUUUGAUUGGAGAACAUGUUUUUCCGGGAUUAUGAUACAAGAAUAUAUUAAAAAAUGAUGUGAUUAUUUAGUGGAUAUAUUUUUAUUGGUAGAUAUAUGAUUUAUUGGACUUAAAAUGGGAUAUACAUGGUAUAAUUUAAAAUAUGCAUGUAUUUUGUUCGAAUGGGAUAAAUUGGGACAAACUUUUAUUUUCAAUCAUCAAUCAACAUUCUUGUGGUUGUAAACUUGUAAUUUAAUAUCAAAAUAACAGGUGUCAUUCAAAAGCUAACAAAAUAAAUCUCGACAAGUGUCAUUUGAAAACUAACAAAGCAAAUCUCGGAAAAUAUUACCUUGCAGCUGCACUCAAACCAUAAGAGAUUGUAUAGGCAAUGGCUUCAGUAUUUACACUGAAAAAGUCGCAAAUCCAAAACAAUUAAUAUCAGCUAAAUUAAAAUUUAGGUCUAAAAAAUAUAUGUAAAAAAAAGAAUAAAGCAUUUAGUAGACUCCUGAACUAUGACUAAAUUUGCUACGACACACUCCAACUUCACGGAGUCCUAUUACUCCUCAAUUUUUGCGUAUUUUUGUCACCAUUUUAUGCUGACGUGGCCCCUUUUGUCAAUCAUUUUAGCUGAUGUGACACCUUAAAUGUGAGCCUUAUUUUAUGUAAUAAAAGUGUCACGUCAGCAGAAAAAGGUGACUAAAGUUGAGUUUGUUUUGGGGGUAAUAGGACCACUGUGAAGUUGAAGUGUGUCGUAGCAACUUCGACUAUAGUUCGAGGGGUACUAAAUUCUUAUCCCUAAAAAUAAAUUGAUGGUUUAAAGCUAAUUAAGGAGAUUAAUUACCUCAUUGCAAUUAGAGAAGUAGUUGUUUUUGAGUUUGGCAAUAAACCAGCUAAUAACACAAGAAGAUCAAAAGCCCAGUACUCCAAACUGAAUGUAUACAUCAAAUUGGGAAAUUACAUGACACAGUCCAGAAAUUGACGACUUAGCCAUUCAGUGAUUUGUCAUUCGUCUGAUCGAAGGGAGGGGAAUUGGACUCUGCCUUCUAGUAUAAUUACAAUACGUAUAAGGAAUCACGCAAGGGUAGAUUAAAACUCUGUGAUAAAAUGCACGCACGUUAUUCAAGAAAAAGUACGUGACGUAGUCCAAGAAUUGAUGACUUAUCCAUUCAAUGACUUGUCAUUCGUCUAAUCGAAGGGAGGGAAACUAGACUCUGCUUUUUAGUAUAAUAACAUUACGUAUUAGGUAUCAUGCAAGGAUAGAUUAGAACUCUCUGGUAAAAUGCACACACGAAAUCCAAGAAAAAGUACAUGACAUAGUCCCAAAAUUGACGACUUACCCAUUCAGUGACUUGUCCUUCGUUUGAUCGAAGGGAGGGAAACUGGACUCUGCUUUUAAGUAUAAUAACAUUACGUAUUAGGAAUCACGCAAGGGUAGAGUAGAACUCUCUGGUAAAAUGCUCGCACGUAGUCCAAGAAAAAGUACAUGGCAUAGUCCAAGAAUUGAUGACUUAUCCAUUCAAUGACUUGUCAUUCGUUUGAUCGAAGGGAGGGGAAUUAGACUCUGUUUUCUAGUAUAAUUACAAUGCGUAUUAGGAAUCACGUAAGGGUAGAUUAGAACUCUCUGGUAAAAGGCUCCGCACGUUAUUCAAAAAAAAGUACAUGGCAUAGUCCAAAAAUUGACAACUUACCCAUUCAAUGACUUAUUAUUCGUCUGAUCGAAGGGAGGGGAAUUGGACUCUGCUUUCUAGUAUAAUUACAAUGUGUAUUAGGAAUCACGCAAGGGUAGAUUAGAACUCUUUGGUAAAAGGGUCCGCACGUUAUCCAAGAAAAAGUACAUGGCAUAGUGCAAUAAUUGAUGACUUAUCCAUUCAAUGACUUGUCAUUUGUCUGAUCGAAGGGAGAAGAAUUGGACUCUGCUUUCUAGUAUAAUUACAAUGCGUAUUAGGAAUUAUGCAAGGGUAGAUUAGAACUCUCUGAUAAAAGGUUCCGCACGUUAUCCAAUAAAAAGUACAUGGCAUAGUGCAAUAAUUGAUGACUUACCCCUUCAAUGACUUGUCAUUCGUCUGAUCAAAGGGAGGGAAACUGGACUCUGCUUUCUAGUAUAGUUACAUUACAUAUUAGGAAUCACGCAAAAAUAGAUUAGAACUCUCUGGUAAAAACACUUACUCCCAAAUACCAUACUAAAUACCGAAUACCAAACUUUUCAGUUCGGUUGGGUAAUUCGGUAUUUUAUGCCCAGCCCUACUUCUAACAGCUCCAGCGUGCCUAGGACUUGACAUCUGGAGCGUGACCAACAUAACAUGGAGAUCCAACAUCGGUUAAACCAAGAUUUGAGUUUAGUUUGACUCUGAUACCAUGUGAAGAAAUAGCAGAUGAGUUUAGUCUGACUCUGAUACCAUCUGAAGAUAUAACAAACCUUGGGUCAACUCAAUCCUAAAAGCUAGCUCAUGAAAGGAGAAUUAUCCAAAAUGACCACAACUCAUUUCUUCAAUCAACUAUGAUAACAAAAUUAAGAGAUAUAUACAUGAGGUUACUCACCACACCAUGACAGCAGAGGGCAAUGCCAACUUCAGAUUUGUAACAACAUAAUGAAACGGCUCGAGGGAGAGACCAUCCCUCCAUAUAUGACUGAAUCUCUCAGAAAAUAGUACGUUAUACCCAACGUAAGAACAGACAUCCAAAUCGAAAUCGAAGCUGCUAAUGGUGCUCCAUUAAAACCAAGACUUGUCCAAUGAACCAAACCAUAAGCAAUGCGAAUAUGUAUAACUAAACAUGCCACUGAACACACAACAAGUGGCUUUAUAAUUGAUUGUUCUUGAAGAAAUCUCAAUAUAUUUUGUAAAAAACCAUAUGCUAAUAAUCCUGGUAUCAAUAACUUCAAGAAAACUCCAGCUUCUUUGGCUAUAUCAGGAUCUUGAUGAACUAAAAUGAGAAUUCUAUCAGAAUACCACCAAAUCACAGCAAUUGUUGUAGAAAAUAUGAAUGAUAUGAUACAUGAUGUUUGAAGAUGUAUGUCCAACAUUCUAUACAUUUUUGCUCCAUAUCCUUGGCCACAUAAUGUCUCUAGUGCACCACUUAGGCCAAUCUAUUUCAGAAUUUUUUAUAAGCAGUGUCAACAUUUAAAAAAUUGAAUAAAUGAAUAUAUAAUAGCAAAAAUGUAUAGUAGAUUGUUAGUAUGUAGAUAUGACAUAACCCUGGGCAGAGACAUACCUCAACUUAAAGGGGUCCUAUUACCCCCGAACUAAUUAAAAAUAUAAUUUUGACAUCCUUAGUGCCUACUUAGCACAUACGUGGCACAACAUGCUGAAGGGUCCACGUAGGCACACGUGUGUGCCACGUAGGCACUAAGAGUGUCAAAAUUACACUUUUAAUUAGUUCAGGGGUAAUAGGACUCCCUUUAAGUUGAGGUGUGUCUCUGCCGUUUUGAGUAUAGUUCAGGAGGGUAAUAGGGUAUUUUCUCAAUGAAUAAUAUAUAAUAGCAAAAAUAUAAUGUAGAUUGUUAGUAUGUAGAUAUGACAUAAUGUACUUUCAGCUUACCGAGGGCAACAUGAUCAUAGAUAGAAGAACAUGAAGGUUAAAAAUUAGGGUAAACGGUCAGUAAUUAGUCGAGCGUUUUCUCUAUCUAUUCCCUUACCAAAAUUAGUGUUAUUAUGCUAGCACUAUCAUAUUCUUCAGUUUUAUAAGCAGUGUCAACAUUUAAAAAGUUGAAUAAAUGAAUAAUAUAUAAUAGCAAAAAUAUAAUGUAGAUUGUUAGUAUGUAAAUAUGACAUAAUGUACUUUCAGCUUAUCGAAGGCAACAUGAUCAUAGAUAGAAGACCAUGGAGGUUAAAAAUUUAGGUAAACGGUCAGUAAGUAGUCGAGCGUUUUUUCUAUAUAUUAGUGUUAUUAUCAUAGCACUAUCAUAUUCUUCAGUUUUAUUGCUCCAAUUGUUUGUUUUAUUUUGGUGACCUUUACUAUUUCGUCAAUAUUUUUCUUUCUUCAAUAUUUUCAUUAUAACUAUUGACUCUUGCAUUUCUUUUAUUUACUGAGUAUGUUAUUGUUAUUGUAAUAGUACCAUUGUAAUAAAUUAAAAUGCAACUUAACGAUCGAUAAUUGUCUAAGUUCGUACGGGUAAAAUUUAAAGCUAUUCGUUCCAUUAAUUAGUUCCUGUACUUGAAAAUUACAAAUGUCAUGAAGAUUUAAAAUUCACAAAUGAAUAUCUAGAAACAAUAUUAUCAUGGAGUUUCACCUGUUAAAUUUAAAAUUAUAUGAGUGUAUCAUUAUUUUUCAGUGACAAAAGUGAAAAGUGGCCAGUGAACAUUAUUUCCACGACAGGCUUCUGUCAGAAAUUUCAUUGUUCUCAUCAAUGUAAUAGACUAGGUUUAUAAAUAUUUGACGGAGACUAAAAGUGUUAACUUGGACAAAUAUAAAGGAUCAAAUAUUUAUUAUACAUACUUAAAGGACUAUCUUAGACCACUUCAAACAUAACGGACUAACAUGCAUAUUCAUCCACACACAUGGGAGAGUAAUUAAUAAGUUGAUAAACAUAUUUUAACAAAUCCAAUUUAUUUCUAAUUAAGAAUUGGAAUUCAGAGGAUUACUUGUUCUUUAUUUUCUAUUAUAUAUAGGAAAUUAAGGGGAGGGUGGGUUAUUAUAACGAAUUUCAAUUUUUGUGCAGUUUCAGUAUACAAAAAAUUUUUGAUUUAUUAUUGAAAGUUACUCAAUUUUUAUGUAAAAUAUUGGAUAACCUGUAAUAGCAGGUAAAGUUUACCUGAUAAUAUAAAAUAUUUUUUACACUAACAGCAUAAAACUUAAGACUCUAUUAUAAACAUGGGUGAAUUUAGCUUAUUAGGUAAAAAAAUUCAUAAAAAUUUAGUAAAUUUUGCUCAAAUUAUAUAUAUUUAUUAAAAUAUUUAAUUAUAAAUCAUAUUAUUAUCAUAUAUCUUAAAAUCGUAAUAAAAAAAUUAUAAAUAUCAAAUCUUAAAUUCACCUAUAAACUGAUAUUUCUUUUGAAAAAAUAAUCUAAAAGAUUAUUAUUGCUCAAAUCUUAAACCAGAGGAGGUUUUAAUAUUGUUACCUUUUUAGAGCCAUCCCGUGAUAUCAUUGGAAUGGGUAAAUGUGCCUACAAAAAACUUAGGUGGAAGUGGUUUAAAAUAUUGAUUCCGUUCAUUUUUAUUUGUCAUUUUUUUUUAUUUUUUAUCCGGAGUUUGGUGUCCGUAUUGGAGUUCCAACUAAUUUGGAUCGCACAUUGCAGGGCCCAUUAAGGUAGCAGUGCUCCCAACAGAGUUUUUUCUGUACCCAGGAUCGAACCCUCGACCUCUGAUUAAGGGUGGAGUAGCCCCAUCCACUGUACCACAACUCAUGUUGGUUUAAUUUGUCAUUUUUUAAUAUUAUUUAAUGAUUAAGAAAAUAAUUAUUAAUAAGAAUAUUUUAUACACUGCUUCUGUUAAUUAAUGUUUAGAUUAAUAUAUUUUGAAACUAGUUUGGAGAAUAAACAAUUUAUAUUAAGAAUAAAAUAGAAAAAAUUCUUUUAUCUUUUCUUGAUAUGUCAAAGUGACAACUAAAAAUAAUUAAUUGAUUAUAAACAUAAUUCAUAUAGGCGUGGAUUAAUAUUUUGAGUUUUUGAAUUCUGAAUUAUAAAAAAAUAUAAUUCAUUGAGUUUUUUAUUUUUUUUUAAUGAAUAUUGAGUGAACUUUCAAAUAUAAAUGAAUAAUCUGAUAGAGAAUUAUUGAGUUUUGUCGAACACAUAGCUGAAUUUCUAGCUCCCUAUAAUAACAAGCAAACUCUAGUGCAGUAAAAUAACAAUAAUAAUAUAUUUACUAAAAGAGAUUUAAAAAUUACGUUUUGUCACAAAUUCGAAUCUCAAAUUAUAAUAAUAUGAUACUUGUGAACCUCCUUAGAUAAAUUCCUCAUUUCACAUUUGGUAAAUUGAGAAUCAAUUAAUUAUAUAAGAAAUUAAUAGUUGAAAAUUAAUAACUAAAAGUUUAUUUCAUAUUAAUUUAAUUUACUGAAACUCACAAGUUUAACAUUCUGGAUACGCCUAUAUAUGUCUAUAAUAUGGACGUAAUUGUCCUAACUCUUCAUCAACAACAAUAACAUACUCAGUGUAUUUUCACAAAAUAGAAUCGGAAAAGGAUAAAGUGUACGCAGUAGUGUAUUUUCACAAAAUAGAAUCGGAAAAGGGUAAAGUGUACGCAGUGACGGACUCAGGAUUAAGAAAUUCCGGGUGCACAAGAGGUUCAAAUGCCUAUAUUGAUGCAUAAAGCCUUUAAGGUUCUGCCUGAAAAUUGAAACACCCAACUAUCUUCUUGGUUUACUAUUGGGUGCUUUUCUAAAUUUUAUACUAUUUUUUAUGCAUUUUUUAUAUAAUUAUACCUAGUCUGUGUCGGACUUAAUGGGUGCCGGAGCACCUCAAAUUAAGCCAUGGGGACCUCAAUGGCGGAGCCACAGCCAACGAAGGGUGGUCUGAUGAACACCCUUCGUCAGAAAUUUUUUUCGAGUAUAUAGGUUAAAUAUACAUAUUUAAGGUUAUAUACAUGUUGUUGCACACCCUUGACAAGCUAGAGAAGCAUAGUCCAGUAGUCAAGAGUGUGCAUUUCUGCAUCAACAACUCCGGUUUGAACUUUGGCAGGUGCAGCAGUGCUUUAUUUUCUUUGUUUUUUAAACAGUUCUUUGCCCAAGGGAAAAUAUGAACACCCUUAACCAAAAGUCUGGCCUGCCGCUGAUUGUAUGCAGUCCAUAUCACUACCUCAGAUGAAGUAGAAAGAUUGUUUCCGAUAGAACCCGGCUCAGGACAAUUGUCCUAACACUCAUAGGAGAAAAAAUAAGAUUACAUACCAUGAAAGAUAGACCAGUGACAACAGCCCAUGAAUUAGCAAGAUUUGGUGCAGCAAGUUCAAGUUUACCAAGAUGACCAGUAAGCAUGACAGACACAAGAUUGAUGAGGUAGAAACAACUAGUCACAACAAUCAUUGGCAAAGAGAACAAUAUUUGAUUCCUGGCUUCUUCAACAUCAAUAACUUUAUUAAUAAUAAUAAUCCACCAUUUGUUUGUGUCCAAUGAUGUUUG
rnacentral:lncRNA from 1 species